UAAUACCGUGUUUUUAUUUCAUGACUCUUUGGUAUUGCAUUGUAUUGCAGUUAUAGAUCUCUGCAAUUGCAAGUUAUAUUUAGUUGUUCCAUUUUCUGCUCUUAUCAUUGUCAAGUUGUAGAUGUAUGCUAUUUGAUAUGUUACAAGCAUGGCAACGCAAGAGGAUAAAUUAUUAGUCGAUAAAAAAACAGUUAACAAAUUUGCAACAUCACAAUUAUUACUACCGAAGUUAUUGCUACCCACCUAUUUCACCUUGGCGAAUGAGAGGAGCUGGCGUUUGUGAGUCCACUCCUGCUCGUACACCUCUGCCUUGUACUUGUCAUCUUUCCCGCCAAUGUCUGAUGCGUCGAUGAUGAGUUUGUAGUUCAUUCCAGAAACAAGUUGUUGCCUGCCACUCACCACCUUGUUGAACUUGAGCACGCAGUUCACGUGCUUGGCGAACUCCAACACCGCCCAACGUCCGAGCUCCUGGAUGUGUUGGUCAUUGAUGUUUCCAAUUGGUUUCCAUCCAUUCUCUAUUGUUGUGUUCCACAAUUGGUUACCCAUCCGUUCCCCACAGCCUGUGGCGGGUGAGCCAAUGGCAUAGAGGAACGCAACAACGAUGAUGAGGAGGAAGCUAGAUGUCCUCAUGGCUAUUGGAUUGUCUAAUGGGGUUCUAUAUCUUGAGAUAGUUAUGUGGGACUUUGGUGAGUUGGUGAUGUGAGUCGAUCCAAAACAAGUGAGAUAGGUGUGCUUAAAUAGACAUUGUUAUAAGGGGCAGCCAUUAAUAGGAUGCUUAUCCAAGUAGGCAUUUACAAUGGCAUUUAUGACAACCUUUUAUACGGGGACAAACUUUAUUCACAAGUUAAUCAAUUGGAUCCAUAUCCAAAGAAUUUGACCUACUUAAACUUAGAAACGUUUAAAUACAUGCUUUCUUGAUGGUUGUAUUUCAUAGCCGGGUAGUAACUAGUGCACCCACUGACAAGUUGUGACUAAUAUCUUAUCCAUAAAAUGGUCAAAAUUAAAAUAAUUUGCCUUAUGGGUAGUAAAAACCUGUAUUUAAACCUUUGUAUGAAAAUAUAUCUAGAUUUCUAUCAUGGAAAUACUAAUAGUUAUAAUUAUACAAAUUGUUCUUAAAAUUUCAUAUAUAUUUUUGGAGUAAUACUUCAACUAUUAUCUUGGUGCCAAAAUUUGGGUUGAUUCGUCACACAACCACUUAUCUUUCUUGUGCUUGGAAACUUGAGUAUGAUAUGAGCAAUAUGAAACGUGUGGAUCUUUAUUAAACCCAAAUGAUAAGUGGCCAAUAUGUGGUACGAAGCAACAUGGUCCUAACGCCCCUAUUAUCAUCCACUUUGCCACAUCAAAUGGAUAACAUCAGCAGAUUUUUUUUUUUGUUUUUUAGACAUCAAAAUGUAUUAUCUCCCAAAUAAUAAAUUUGAUUACAAAUCUAUUUUCAUCGUUAAAUCUGCCUUGACGAGAUAUUCAAAACUAUAUCCCAUAUUGCUAUGUUUCGACGAUUUUUUGUGUGCCAAAAGUUGCCAUGAUAUUUACAUUGAAAUUGUCAUAGUGUUUACACUAAAGUUGCCAUGAUAUGUUUCAUCUAUUUUUCUUCUUCUAGAUUUUGAAGCUGCCAUUUUAUAUCAACUAAUUUUCACAUAAAAUUUUAUGAAUGGAUCGUGGAAAUUUUUAGUAAUUAACCACGGUGAAAUUAAUUCAUGGAUCAUGGCAAUUUUUAGUAAUUCAUCUUGGAAAUUUUAGUUUAAAAAUCAUGGCAAAUUUAGUUUAUAGAUCAUGGAAAUUUUAGUAGUUUGACCAUGAAAUUUUAGUAUUUGACCAAGGAAAAUUUUUUUGGUAUGAACCAUGGCAAAUUUUAGUGCAUGUAUCUUUGCAAAUUUAAGUAAUUCACCAUGGUAAUUUUAGUGUAUGGUUCAUGACAAAUUUGAGUCAUUGACCUUGCAUUUUUAAAAUAAUGAACAACGGGUUUCUUUUCUAAUUAUUAACCUUCAUGCCUAGAAGAGAACUAACUAGAUGCUUCAUUUGGUUGUGUGUAUAAUUGGUCUAGGGGUAUAAGAUAUAUCAUACGUGUUUGCUACUAUUUUAACAUGAAAGAAAAGUAGCGGAUAUGUUACAACAUAUACACAUAUUGCUAAAAUAAAUAAUUCUAUGAGGCAGUGGUAACACACACAGAGACAUGCAUAACAUGUUCAAGAUUAGGAAUCAUCCGCUUCUACGCGGUGUCAAAACACAUCAUAUAUAUGCCGAAAUUGCAGCCCGAACCGAAGGAGAUAUAUAAAAAUACCCAAGUAAUCUCAUAACAGCUAUCUCUGUUUCAAACAUUCCAUCCGUCUAAGAUGAAUCUUCUCUAGAAACUUAGGUGUACCAACUUGCUCGUACGCAAGUCACCACAAUGAAAACAAUCGUAUAUAUGAUAAACAAGGCCACAUGUGCAAUCAUGGCAACCAUCAGCACACCCCACGGAAAGUGUUAGGAACCUUUCGCCACUAGAGAGGUCGUAGUACAAAGGAGAAUUAUCCUUGAGACGCCGACGACGUACAAUGGUGUCGUCCACAGCAGUAGGUAUGGCCUUGUAAUUCACGGCAAUAGUCUCCCUCACAUAGACAGAGACAUCAUCGUCCUCGAUGUAAAUUCCAUGGUCAAUAGUAGUGAAGAGAGUAUUACCUCCGAUGCUUGUUACUGGGACAACCUUGCCCAUGAUAAGAUCGGCUACUUUGUAGACGAGCAUGCGCCCCUCUAAAAGUGGGUUAGCGUCGUGACCAAUCAGUCGGAUCUCCGAGACGCAUUCUUCCAUGCUGAACCGGCCUCUGAUUUUGUCAUUGGGACACGUGGCAAUCAACCUUGGCGGCAACAAAUAAGAUGACACUGCGUGAUGACCGAGGCGGGGUGGAUCGAUCUGCAGAAUAAGUUGUUUGCCGCCAUAUGUGGUGGGAGAAUCCAACACAAAUAAUUUUCCUUGGGGUGAUAUUGUAUGAGAGUAGCCUUGGAGGCUCCAAGUCGAGACACUCCAUUGCUGGUCCUUGGUAGUAGCAAAGAAUACUCGUGGUAUAUUAUAAAGCUUGAUCAUAACGGUGACGACUCCAUCAAUACUCACGCUCAUUGAGGUGACACCACUGAAAGCAACAUGUCUCCUGCCAUUUGACAUAUCCAAGUUGGCCCUUACCAGGGACAUGAGCGGCGGUAGCUCCACAAAGUCGUCGGUGAAAGGGUGGAGGAUAUGCAUACAGUGCUUAAAAGUUGGAAAACGUUUCACGCCAGCGCGCCCGCCGAAACUAUGGUUUGUCGGUUGCGAGCCAUGUGAUCAAGCCCCCAUUGUACGUCUCGCACAUCACCCUGGCCCAUCUUAUCUCUCAGCCUAGCGCGCUGGUGGCCACACUCCUCGUCUUCCUCCUUCGGAUCCCGCCGCCGUCUAGCCCCAAUCGCGGCUCAAGCUCAAGAAGGCGACACCCAUGGAUGACGGUGCUCCUCCAAGGCAACCAUGUUGGUGUGCUUGCCGAUGGCCUCGUCGACAUGCUUGCCUUCGGCGAGCCUCGUUGAUGGCGGUCGGGGCAGCGUGGGAGGCGUCAGCUUGGGAGUGGGGGCUCGGAAGGAACAAAUGAGGAGACUGCUCCCGGCAGCCUCGUCGGAUGAUUUGAAUAAUUCCCGAAUUUAUAUAGGCAGUUUUAUUGUUGGCCCAUCCUGCCUUAUGUGGAUUAGCUCCACUGGGGGAUUAUUCGCCCUGCACGCAACGCUGUUACUGUAUUGUGAUUGCGACAACUGGGAGAAGAGGGCCUCGCCGACGGGCGAUGGCAGGCCGGAGACGGGGCACGCGUGCGUCGGUGUCGAACGCUGCCGACCCUCCCUUACUGGGCCGGGUAAUAGCAAGGUACGACAUGAUCCAAGGUCCAAUUCUGCCGAGAAAUUAUGACCCGACCCAGUAAUCUUUGCCGAUCGACUCGAGUUCCGAUCGGUUUGAUCUCCUCGUGGCGGAGUCGUACACAGUCUGCGUCUCAGCUAUCCCUCGGUACGUUCUUCUAGAAAAACUACCCCUCGGUACGUAGAGCUAGGGUAGAAAGACCAGAUCGAUCUUCUACUUUUCGAGAGAAGAGAGAAGAUAUGCCGUCUGCGAUCGAUCCACCGAUGUCAUCAUCACGGGCCAACCACGACGGCGCAUCAGCCAUCGCUGAUGCUGCUGCCUCCGCCGCCAGCUCCGAAGACGACGUCUCUCCAUGGUCGUCUCUGCAUGCAGAUUUGGUUCGUCAACUCGGCUGGGAGGUGCUGGCCGGAGAUAUACUGGACUAUGUCCGAUUUCGUGCCGUGUGCGCCCACUGGCGGUCCAGCACCGUCGCGCCGCGGGGGCACGGCAUCGUCGACCCACGCUUCCACCCCAAGAGGUGGUUCCUGCUGCCCGAGGGUCACGGCCUGCACCCUGCUGACGGCAAGAAACGUUUCUUCAAUCUCUCCACAGGAGUUUUCGUCCGUGUCUUGCUCCCCUUCUUAAGCGAUAGCUAUGUCCUUGACUCGGCCGAUGGCCUCCUCCUCUUGCAACGGAAAAGCCAAGACACCUCCGCGAUCCGGCUCCUCCACCCUUUCACCGACGACUUUGCGGAGCUACCACCGCCCAUGUCCCUUGUAAGAGCUAACUUGGAUAUGUCCGAUGGCACACGACGGGUUGAUUUCCGUAGUGUCACUUCCAUUAGCGUCACUGUUGAUGGAGUCGUCGCAGUCAUGAUCAAGCUUUACAAUAUAUCACGUGUAUUCUUUGCUACUACUAAGGACCGGCAGUGGAGUGUCUCGACUUGGAAUAUCGGAUGGUACUCCGAGACAAUAUCGUCCAACCACAUAUCGCCGUGAACAACAUAUUCUCCAGAUCGAUCCACCCCGCCUUGAUCAUCACGCCAUGUCAUCUUAUUUGUUGCCAUCAAGGUUGAUUGCCACGUGUCCCACUAACAAAAUUUCUGGCAUGUUCUACAUGGAAGAUUGUGUCUCGGAGAUCCUAGUGAUUGGUCAGGAUGCUAACCCAUUUUUCAAGGGCCGCUUGGUCGUCUACAAAGUAGCCGAUCUUAUCAUGGGCAAGGUUAUCCCGGUAACAAGCAUCGGAGGUAAUACUCUCUUCACUACAAUUGACAAUGGAAUUAGCAUUGACGAUAAUGAUAUCUCUGUUUAUGUGAGGGAGACUAUUGUUGUGAGUUACAAGCCCAUACCUACUGCUAUGGGCGACACCAUUGUACGCCGUCGGCGUCUCAAGGAUAAUUCUCCUUUGUACUACGACCUCUUUAGCGGCGAAUGGUCCCAAGGACCGGCCAUGGAGUGUGCUGAUGGUUACCAUGAUUGCACCUGUGUCCUUGUUUAUCAUAUCUACGAUUGUUGUCAUUGUGGUGACUUCCGUGCGAGCAAGUUGGUACACCUAAGUUUCUAGAGCAGAUACUCGUGUGUCAUAGAGAUGUACUUAUCCUUGGAAAAGUUGAAUGGUGUCCUGGAAACCAUCCCACUGCUUAUAGUAGAAUGAUCGAUCUAGUGCUAAUACCGUGUUUUUAUUUCAUGACUCUUUGGUAUUGCAUUGUAUUGCAGUUAUAGAUCUCUGCAAUUGCAAGUUAUAUUUAGUUGUUCCAUUUUCUGCUCUUAUCAUUGUCAAGUUGUAGAUGUAUGCUAUUUGAUAUGUUACAAGCAUGGCAACGCAAGAGGAUAAAUUAUUAGUCGAUAAAAAACAGUUAACAAAUCUGCAACAUCACAAUUAUUACUACCGAAGUUAUUGCUACCCGCCUAUUUCACCUUGGCGAAUGAGAGGAGCUGGCGUUUGUGAGUCCACGUCUGCUCGUACACCUCUGCCUUGUACUUGUCUUCUUUCCCGCCAAUGUCUGAUGCCUCGAUGAUGAGUUCGUAGUUCAUUCCAGAAACAAGUUGUUGCCUGCCACUUACCACCUUGUUGAACUUGAGCACGCAGUUCACAUGCUUGCCGAACUCCAACACCGCCCAACGGCCGAGCUCCUGGAUGUGUUGGUCGUUGAUGUUUCCGAUUGGUUCCCAUCCAUUCUCAAUUGCCGUGUUCCACAAUUGGUUGCCCAUCCGUUCCCCACAGCCUAUGGCAGGUGAGCCGAUGGCAUAGAGGAACGCAACAACGAUGAUGAGGAGGAAGCUAGAUGUCCUCAUGGCUAUUGGAUUGUCUAGUGGGGUUCUUGAUCUUGAGAUAGUUAUGUGGGACUUUGGUGAAUUGGUGAUGUGAGUGGAUCCAAAACAAUUGAGGUAGCGGUGCUUAAAUAGACAUUGUUAUAAGAGGCAAACAUUAAUUGGAUGCUUAUCCAAGUAGGCGUUUACAAUGGCAUUUAUGACAACCUUUUAUACGGGGACAAACUUUAUUCAAAAGUUAAUCAAUUGGAUCCAUAUCCAAAGAAUUUUACCUACUUAAACUUAGAAACGUUUAAAUACAUGCUUUCUAGAUGGUUGUAUUUCAUAGCCGGGUAGUAACUAGUGCACCCACUAACAAGUUGUGACUAAUAUCUUAUCAAUAAAAUGGUCAAAAUUAAAAUAAUUUGCCUUAUGGGUAGUAAAAACCUGUAUUUAAACCUUUGUAUGAAAAUAUAUCUAGAUUUCUAUCAUGGAAAUACUAAUAGUAAUAAUUAUACAAAUUGUUCUUAAAAUUUCAUAGAUAUUUUUUGAGUAAUACUUCAACUAUUAUCUUGGUGCCAAAAUUUGGGUUGAUUCGUCACACAACCACUUAUCUUUCUUGUGCUUGGAAACUUGAGUAUGAUAUGAGCAAUAUGAAACGUGUGGAUCUUUAUUAAACCCAAAUGAUAAGUGGCCCAUAUGUGGUACGAAGCAACAUGGUCCUAACGCCUUUAUUAUCAUCCAUUUUGCCACAUCAAAUGGAUAACAUCAGCAGAUUUUUUUUUGUUUUUUACACUUGAAAAUGUAUUAUGUCCCAAAUAAUAAAUUUGAUUACAAAUCUAUUUUCAUCGUUAAAUCUGCCUUGACGAGAUAUUCAAAACUAAAUCUCAUAUUGCUAUGUUUCGACGAUUUUUUUGUGCCAAAAGUUGCCAUGAUAUUUACAUUGAAAUUGUCAUAGUGUUUACACUAAAGUUGCCAUGAUAUGUUUCAUCUAUUUUUCUUCUUCUAGAUUUUAAAGCUGCCAUUUUAUAUCAACUAAUUUUCACAGCAAAUUUUAUGAAUGGAUCGUGGAAAUUUUUAGUAAUUAACCACGGUGAAAUUAAUUCAUGGAUCAUGGCAACUUUUAGUAAUUCAUCAUGGAAAAUUUAGUUUAAAAAGCAUGGCGACUAAGCAUGGCGACUUUAGUUUAUAAAUCAUGGAAAUUUUAGUAGUUUGACCAUGAAAUUUAAGUAUUUGACCAAGGAAAUUAUUUUUGGUAUGAACCAUGGCAAAUUUUAGUGCAUGUAUCUUUGCAAAUUUAAGUAAUUCACCAUGGUAAUUUUAGUGUAUGGUUCAUGAAAAAUUUGAGUCAUUGACCUUGCAUUUUUAAAAUAAUUAACGACGGGUUUCUUUUCUAAUUAUUAACCUUCAUGCCUAGAAGAGAACUAACUAGAUGCUUCAUUUGGUUGUGUGUAUAAUUGGUCUAGGGGUAUAAGAUAUAUCAUACGUGUUUGCUACUAUUUUAACAUGAAAGAAAAGUAGCGGAUCUGUUACAACAUAUACACAUAUUGCUAAAAUAAAUAAUUCUAUGAGGCGGCGGUAACACACACAGAGACAUGCAUAACAUGUUAAAGAUUAGGAAUCAUCCGCUUCUACGCGGUGUCAAAACACAUCAUAUAUAUGCCGAAAUUGCAGCCCGAACCGAAGGAGAUAUAUAAAAAUACCCAAGUAAUCUCAUAACAGCUAUCUCUGUUUUAAACAUUCCAUCCGUCUAAGAUGAAUCUUCUCUAGAAACUUAGGUGUACCAACUUGCUCGUACGCAAGUCACCACAAUGACAACAAUCGUAUAUAUGAUAAACAAGGCCGCAUGUGCAAUCAUGGCAACCAUCAGCACACCCCACGGAAAGUGUUAGGAACCUUUCGCCACUAGAGAGGUCGUAGUACAAAGGAGAAUUAUCCUUGAGACGCCGACGACGUACAAUGGUGUCGCCCACAGCAGUAGGUAUGGCCUUGUAUAUAGUGGCAAUAGUCUCCCUCACAUAGACAGAGACAUCAUCGUCCUCGAUGGAAAUUCCAUGGUCAAUGGUAGUGAAGAGAGUAUUACCUCCGAUGCUUGUUACUGGGACAACCUUGCCCAUGAUAAGAUCGGCUACUUUGUAGACGAGCAUGGGCCCCUCUAAAAGUGGGUUAGCGUCGUGACCAAUCAGUCGGAUCUCCGAGACGCAUUCUUCCAUGCUGAACCGGCCUCUGAUUUUGUCAUUGGGACACGUGGCAAUCAACCUUGGCGGCAACAAAUAAGAUGACACUGCGUGAUGAUCGGGGUGGGGUGGAUCGAUCUGCAGAAUAUGUUGUUUGCCGCCAUAUGUGGUGGGAGAAUCCAACACAAAUAAUUUUCCUUGGGAUGAUAUUGUAUGAGAGUAGCCUUGGAGGCUCCAAGUCGAGACACUCCGUUGCUGGUCCUUGGUAGUAGCAAAGAAUACUCGUGGUAUAUUAUAAAGCUUGAUCAUAACAGUGACGACUCCAUCAAUACUCACGCUCAUGGAGGUGACACCACUGAAAGCAACAUGUCUCCUGCCAUUUGACAUAUCGAAGUUGGCCCUUACCAAGGACAUGAGCGGCGGUAGCUCCACAAAGUCGCCGGUGAAAGGGUGGAGGAUAUGCAUACAGUGCUUAAAAGUUGGAAAACGUUUCACGCCAGCGCGCCCGCCGAAACUUUGGUCUGUCGGUUGCGAGCCAUGUGAUCAAGCCCCCAUUGUACGUCUCGCACAUCACCCUGGCCCACCUUAUCUCUCAGCCUAGCGCGCUGGUGGCCACACUCCUCGUCUUCCUCCUUCGGAUCCCGCCGCCAUCUAGCCCCAAUCGCGGCUAAAGCUCGAGAAGGCGACACCCAUGGAUGACGGUGCUCCUCCAAGGCAACCAUGUUGGUGUGCUUGCCGAUGGCCUCGUCGACAUGCUUGCCUUCGGCGAGCCUCGUUGAUGGCGGUCGGGGCAGCGUGGGAGCGUCAGCUUGGGAGUGGGGGCUCGGGAGGAACAAAUGAGGAGACUGCUCCCGGCAGCCUCGUCGGAUGAUUUGAAUAAUUCCCGAAUUUAUAUAGGCGGUUUUAUUGUUGGCCCAUCCUGCCUUAUGUGGAUUAGCUCCACUGGGGGAUUAUUCGCCCUGCACGCAACGCUGUUACUGUAUUGUGAUUGCGACAACCGGGAGAAGAGGGCCUCACCGACGGGGUACACGGGGCGGCGCUGCCUCCGCCGCUGGCAACCUCCUCCACUCCUCUCCGCCGGCAACAUGACGAAUCCCAUCGAGGUCCACUCGCCGAGAAACUCGAUGGAAACAGCGGUAUCACACACACGUCCUAUGGAAGAGAAACUGAGAAAGAUAGCCGAGAGGGGGUGGGAUGCAGUGUUGUCGUUUGCUAGCAUUUCCAGUCCAACCAACGACUCGGACAAGAUAGCGUGUCCCUCACAGGUGGUUUAAGAUAUGUGUUUUUGAUCCAACGGCCAAUAGGUUGUUCGCUGGGAACACCUAAAAAUCUGAUGGCAGCUAGAUAAGAUUUCCCCUUUUUUAGGAUUAAAAAUCCAGCUAGCUGGGCAUUGCAUUUGUAUCCACGAGAGCGGUAAUAGCAUCCAGGUCCAAUUCUGCCGACCAAUUACGACCCGGCCCAGUAAUCUUUGCCAAUCGAGUCGAGUUCCGAGGGAGUAACUAGUUAAUGAGCGCUCCUUCGGGAGCCUCGCAAUGAUCAGCGUCAUUUGGCACGCUCUCGGCCAUUCGUCACGUGUCGCGCUUUGGACGCUUUCUUCGGAAUUUUUUUUCGCACGCGUUUUCGGCUUUUUAAACGGUUUUUUUUUGGGUUUUUUCGAUGUUUUGGUUUUCCCCCGGUCUUUCUUAGCUUUUCAAUCAAGAAAAAAAAAAUUACGCGAAAAAUUGCGUUUUCUUUUUUUUCCCUUUCGCGAAAGUCACGGGUUUUCUUCCGUGAGAGGCACGGUUGUGCUUUAGCGAGAGUCACGGCCGUGCCUUUCGGAAACGGAAAAAAACGCGUUUUCUGUUUUGUUUCUUUCACGAGAGUCACGGUUUUGCUUUCGCGAGAGUCACGGCCGUGCCUCUCGGAAAGGGAAAAACAAAACGCGUUUUCUGUUUUUUUUCCUUUCGCGAGAGUCACGCUUUUGCUUCCGCGAGAGGCAUGGUUGUACUUUCGCGAGAGUCACGGACAUGCCUCUCGGAAACAGAAAAAAAAAUGCGUUUUCUAUUUUUUUUUCCUUCCACGAGAGUCACAGUUUUGCUUCCACGAAAGGCACGGUUGUGAUUCGCUAGAGGCACGGGCGUGCCUCUUUGGAAAGGGAAAAAACCGUGCUCCCGGUUCGGUUUUUUCGUCCGGUUUUUUUGUGAAAAAAAGUUCGUCAAAACCUAUCAACAUGGGAUCUGGUUUUGAAGAUCUCGACGCGAGGAAUUCAAUGGUGAAAACGGUUCGAGAUUUGGACGCACGGUUGAAGAGAUAAAACAUUAAACUCCGAAAUCACUAAUUAAGGAGUACUCGUUGCAAAGAACACUCCACCUUCUCAGGUCGCGACAAGUGGCGCACAUGCAGCGUGCCACUUGUCGCAACCUAGAAGUUUUCCCUUUUUUCGUAGAUCCGUUUAUUCAAAACGUUUUAUCUCUGAAACCGUGCGUCCAAAUCUCGAACCGCUUUCACCGUUGGAUUCCUCGCGCCGAAAUCUGCCAAACUAGAUCCAAUGUUGAUAGGUUUUGACGAACUUUUUUACGAAAAAACCGGACAAAAAAACUGAACCGGGAGCACGGGUUUUUUUCCUUUCCGAAAGAGGCACGCCCAUGCCUGUCACGAAAUCACAACCGUGCCUCUCGCGGAAGCAAAACCGUGACUCUCGUGAAACGCAAAAAAAAAGAGAAAACGCGUUUUUUCCCGUUUCCGAGGAGGCACGGCCGUGCCUCUCACGGAAGCAAAACCGUGACUCUCGUAAAAGAAAAAAACAGAAAACGCGUUUUUUUUCGUUUCCGAGAGGCACGGCCGUGACUCUCGCGAAAGCACAACCGUGCCUCACGCGGAAGCAAAACCGUGACUCUCACGAACGAAAAAAAUAGAAAUCACGUUUUUUUUCGUUUCCGAGAGGCAUGGCCGUGACUCUCGCGAAAGCACAACCGUGCCUCUCACGGAAGCAAAAUCGUGACUCUCGUGAAACGAAAAAAAAAAUAGAAAACACAUUUUUUUCAUUUCCGAGAGGCACGGCCGUGACUCUCGCGAAAGCACAACCAUGCCUCUCGCGAAAGCAAAACCGUGACUCUCGCGAAAGAAAAAAAACACGUUUUUUUGUGCAAAAAUAAUUUUUCAAAAUUUCUUUUAUCGAAAGCUAAGGAAGACCUGUGGAAAACCAAAACGUUGGAAAAACCCGUUAAAAAGCCGAAAACGCGUGCGGAAAAAUAAAAAACAAAAUCCAAAGAGAGCGCCCAGAGCGCGACACGUGGCGAAUGGCUGAGAGCGCGCCAAGUGGCGUUGAUCGUUGCGAGGCUUCCAAAUGAGCGCUCGUUAAUUAGUUGCUCUCGUAGUAAGCAGUAUCUUAGGCGUCCAUUUAACAGGCCUGGGGUUGAAUGUGAGCUGGGCCUGGGCUAGCGCACUAACCUUCCAAAACUAAACUAAUUAGUAAGCCUGAGGAGAGAGCAACUAGUUAACAGGCGCUCCUUCGGGAGCCUCGCAACGAUCAGCGCCACUUGGCGCGCUCUCAGUCAUUUGUCACGUGUCGCGCUCUGGGCGCUUUCUCCGGAUUUUUUUUAUUUUUCCACACACGUUUUCGGCUUUUUAAAAGGUUUUUUCCUGGUUUUUUCGAUGUUUUGGUUUUCCACCGGUUUUCCGUAGCUUUUCGACCGAAAAAAUUUGAAAAAAAAAAUUGCGCGAAAAAACAUGUUUUAUUUUUUUCCCCUUUCGCGAGAGUCACGGCCGAGCCUCUUGGAAACGAAAAAAAAACGUAUUUUCUGUUUUUUUUCUUUCGCGAGAGUCACGGUUUUGCUUCCGCGAGAGGCGUGGUUGUGCUUUAGCGAGAGUCACGGUCCUACCUCUCGGAAACGGAAAAAAACGGGUUUUCUGUUUUUUUCCUUUUCUUUCGCGAGAGUCAUGGUUUUGCUUCCGCGGGAGGCACGGUUGUGCUUUUGCAAGAGUCACGGCCAUGCCACUGGGAAAGAGAAAAAAAACGCGUUUUCUGUUUUUCUUUUCCUUUCGCGAGAAUCACGGUUUUGUUUCCGCGAGAGGCACGGUUGUGCUUCGCGAGAGUCACGGCCAUGCCUCCUCGGAAACGGGACAAAACGUGUUUUCUCUUCUUUUUUUUUCCUUCCGUGAGAGUCACGGUUUUGCUUCCGCGAGAGGCACGGUUGUGAUUUCGUGAAAGGCACGGGCGUGCCUCUUUCGGAAAGGAAAAAAACCCAUGCUCCUGGGUCGGUUUUUUCGUCCGGUUUUUUUCGUGAAAAAAAAGUUCGUCAAAACCUAUCAAACAUGGGAUCUAGUUUUGAAGAUCUCGACGCGAGGAAUCCACCAAUGAAAGCGGUUCGAGAUUUGGACGCACGGUUUGAGAGAUAAAAAAUGUUUUGAAUAAACGGAUCUACGAAAAAAGGGAAAACUCACGGGUUGCGACAAGUGACGCGCUGCAUGUGUGCCACUUAUCACAAUCAGGGGAGUUGGAGUGAUAUUUGCAACGAAUACUCCUCAACUAGUGAUUUUGGCCUGGGGGCAGGUGGAUAGUGCAGACCGGGCCCAACUCGGCCAUCUCCAUGGCUUUUUAACUCCACGAUGCUGCCCAAUCAAAAAGAAAAAUAAUUCACGCGGUCAGAAUAUUCUCCUGAUCGAUAACAAACACAAAUCGAUCCAUGGCGUCGUCGGAAACUGCAGAGCGCCCUCCGCCAUUGCUGCUCCCACCGCCCGUGACGUGGCUACACCAUGGUCUUCUCUCCCCACAGAUUUGGUCUGCCUUGUCAGCUGGCGGGUGCUGGCCAGAGACCUGCUGGACUACGUCCGCUUCCGGGCCGUGUGCGCGCACUGGCGGUCCAGCACCGUCUACCCGCACGGACGUGGCAUCGUCGAUGCCCGCUUUCACCUGCGCCGGUGGAUGAUUUUGCCCGAGGGUCACGGCAUUCACCCUCGCAUCGACAAGAGACGGUUCGUGAAUCUCGCGACCGGAGUCUUCGCUUGCGUCUCGCUGCAUCUCUUCAUGGACCAUCAUGUCCUUGAUUCGGUCGACGGCCUCCUUGUCCUCUACAAAGCUAACGCCAAGACCUUGAUCCUAAACCCCUUCACCGGCGACGUUGUGAAGCUCCCGCCGCUCAUGAAAUCCCACUGGAACCUAGAUAUAGGGGGACGGUAUGAUUCGGUGCAGCUCAAGUUCAUCACAUCCUUGAGCGUGAGCGCGGAUGGAGUCAUCACAGUCAUGAUCGUGCAUCAAUAUAUGCGCCGUGUAGUUUUUGCUACCACCAAUGACCAGCUGUGGAGGGUCUCGAAUUGGAGCCUCUCACCCUUGUCCAUACCCAUAUCAUUCCAAGGAAAGUUUUAUAUACUGGAGCCUCAUACUAUGGGUAGCAGCGGACGACCGAUACUACAACUUGACCCGCCUAUUUAUGAGUACUAGUAAAACGCCCGUGCCACGGGCUUCUGAAAAAAUUUAAGAUGCUACUCAUGGAGCUAAAAUAACCAAGAAUAAGGCCGUCUCAACUAACUCACAUCUUUUUCUUGACAAUCAGCUAACACACAUCAUACUAUCAUACUAUCGAAGCCUUCCCCACCUUCGGCCAUCAGUUGGCCAUUCACAAGAGGGCGGCGGGCGCGGGCACGGGCGCUAGACUUGGUCAUCUACGGCGUUGCGGCAACCGAAGAUCGAGUUGGACGUGGGGGUGUAAGGAGGGAAACAAGCACGCAAGGAGCAGCGGCAUUGCGACGGGCAGUCGUGCCACGGCCUUUGCCUUUUCCAGGGCAACAGCCAGAGGCCACCACGCUCCUCGGCUCUCCCUCCUCUCUUCCAUGCCAGGCAACAAAAUGGGCGAGAUAGAGAAGAGGCAACCAAGAUGUUUUUCUAUAUGGCGACCAAGAUGGUUUUGUUUACUCAUGCCACAGAUUCCUUACAGCCCCACCCUCGAGCGAAAAAUUAUCCCUUCUUUCCAAAUUUAUCUUCUUUUGCUGCUUGGUUUUUCAUUAUUCUCAUCAAACAAGAAUUGCCUUGCUAUAUAACCUCGUCAAACUAAUAUCAUACACUUUUAUGGAUCCACUAAUAUGAGUUCGUCAUUAUUUUGUUACUAAAAAGGAUGGAACUCUAAAAUGUUAAACAGCAUGCUACACCAAAUAAUGUGAACUGAUUGUAUAAUCAAACAAUUUAAUUCAAAAUUAUAAGAUCUUAGGCAUUUAAUUACAAAACCAAUGUGUUUGUGUUGAAUGUUAUGUUUGAUCACUUUUGCAACCAAGUUCUUCUUGAUAUAUGUACACCAAUUUUAAAGCAAAUGUAGAGUAGCAGAAACAACCAUUUCUCCCUUUUUCCUUCUUCUAGAAAUCCAGUAAUAGACUAAUGAUAUAGACUGCUAUGUUUCCUUUAGGUGUAGGGUCCUCCUUGAUUAUGAUGUAGGGUCUCGUCGGGCCAUCGAAGCCCCUCCGUCAUCACUCCCUCCCCCAUAACUACAUCCUCCUCCUUGACUCACCGCGCCAACCCCAUCCCGCGUCAAUCUGAGCGCCCGGCAGUUCCCGAGCGUUACUCACCCGGCCUCAUGAUGCGCGACUCCGUCACCAGCAUGCCCUUGCACCACCUCAUGCAUGCCUCCUUCACCGACCAACAGCGGCCACGGACGAGGUCAACAGGCACUAAGCCCUUGACCACCGCUGUGUGCACUGCUCUCCCUGCAACAGUGUAUCAAUUUUCAAAAUGGUGUAUCAAUUAGCUCUGGUGUUCUACUUAUGGCUGAAAAAAUUUGUUUAUGAUUUUUUUAUUUUGACCCGAUUGAAAUUAAGUGGUUGCAAUGAAAAAGGAAAUUGAAUUAGAUUACUUCACUAUAUCAUACCACUAAUCUAUUCUAAGUAGAUUCAAAGAUAAUAUAAUAGAAAACUCUAAAGUACCAAAUUCUUCGAAAACACACAUAAGAGAAACUUAGAUAACUGUGAACUCCAAAUGCCUGAACAACGAAUCAAAAUUAUAGAAUAUGCACAAGCAUGAGCACAAAAACACAAUUUAUGGAGCCCAGGAAAGGUUUCAUGGAGCAAAAAUAUUCUAUUCUACAUAAUGAUCUUUGCUCCUUGGGACUCAUUUAUACGGGUUUUUGCUUUGCUCUGACCUAGCAUGUUGACCAGUCCCCCAUAUUUUUGUUUUAGCUCUUUAUCUAGUUGUUUUUAUCAGUUCGAUGAAAAUAUAUCGUCCUGCGAGUAAUAUUACAAACCGGUGGGGUGCUACCCCCCAGUUAUUCUUCAACAAAAAUGGCUUUAUUAAUUCUUUUCCAAAAAAAAUCGUUGACAACAACAACUAACAGUCAUGGAUAUUCUCCUCGGCAAACUUACACAAAAAAGAGCAUCACGCCUUAUCAAAGUACAACCUUGUGGAGCAAAGAUCAUAUGCUUGUGCUCAAAUCGGACACCAAUUUAUCCUUUCUGGACAGAAGACGUACUUGCAUCUCCUGUGAACCUUAUCAUCACAAUCUGGAAUGUUGAGGAACCGGUUCAUUAAGUUUGCAACCAAACUAUAGAAAAUCCGUUCAUGAUCUUAGGAAGAAUUUGAUUUCCUAUUUGACUAUUAAACUGGCAAGCUAAUGAUGUAUGCAAUCAAAGAAAAAUCAGGCUCUUCUAGGAUGAAGGCAUGUACCUUUAGCAAUGGCAAAAUAUAAAGAUCUGUGGAGGGUAGGAGGAGCCACCAAUAGAUCUGCACAUGAAGAAGCAGAAGGAGGAGCCACCACCAGAUGUGCAUAGGGAGGACCCGAGUAGGUUGCUGGCAACAUACUUCUUUAAUAUAGGAAAUUAAGAAUAAUAAUACCAUUCUCUUCUACAAACUGAAAACCACGACGUGCACAUCUGGUCGAUUUACUCGUCGUGGUUUGUAGAAGUAAUCGGAACGGAGGGAGUAGUUAGCUAACUGAAAAUAGAUUGCUAGAUGGACCCUUACUUCUACAAACCAUGCAUGUAAGAUGUAACCACAAAACAAGAAACAAUUCGAGCGAACUGAAGAUAGAUUGCUAGAUCGGUUAAACGAUGAACACAACUGCCAUAAAUCACAUCAGAGCAUGUAACAUACUAUGAGAAAUCAUUCAUAGAUUGGCUGCUGGUACUUCAUUCAGACUUCACAAGCACCAAGAGUCAAAUCACAGGCGUUGGUAAGGUUCAAAGCUUCAGACUAAUCUAAAAUAUCAGCUCCAUAUCUUUUGUGAAUGUGUGAUGCGUGCCUUAGGACUUCCUGCUGUCAUGUAGGUAUGCCCUUGGUCAGAAAGUUCGUGUUUCUGUCAGAGAGGUAGAACUGUCAUCUGCAUCAUCUACUUACUCUACUAAAAAAUGAAGCUCAUGUGUCAGCAGUUGUCACUGAAUUUUCAGAUGACUGGCAAUAAAGUUUGCUGCUUAAUUUUGGACUGCUAAGGUUAAGUUUUCCAUGUGUGUAGGUGUAGCAGGUAAUAGCUCUGAACCCUGAAAAAAAGAUUCAAAAAUCGAAUCCUUUCUCCAUGCCCUCACAAUGCCUAUGAAUUUCACAUGUGAUCAUUUAAACAGCACACACGUUGUCCAUUCAAAAUGAGGUGGAAUAAAAUUAAAUCUAAACUGAACAUUACAAAAUUUUAAAAUCAGAACCUUUGUAUAACUGACAAUGGAUCAUCGUAUACAACAAGAUCUAUUAAGUAAUGCAAGAGCACACACAUACAUAAGAGUCAAAAGACUGAUCAGAAGGCAUGACCUACAUGGAUAGACUAAGGUCUCUGUAGUGCAAGAAUUAGAAAAAUGGCAGCAACACACCAAAGACAAUGACAGUCAAGGAUGGCAUCUCCUUCUUCCAUACGGUGGUCCAUGCUCUCUGCAAUCCCUGAAGAAGAACAUACCUUAAAAGGCUGAAAUCAAGAGUAAGGAACAUAUCAAAAGGGUUCGGAAAUAGAAAGCAGAAAAUUCAAGAGUCAGUACAAAAACAAAAUAGGUCUAAAUAGAUCUGAGACUUGAGGAGAGAAGAACUAUCAUACUGACUAUUUUAAAUUUAUUUACUUACCAAUUAGUACACCGUAACUUUUUUUAUGUAACGAAGAUAUCCGUAUAUAGAAGUAAAUAAUUGCAUAUACACGUCAAUAGUUAAAUACACAGUAGGUUAUUUAAGUCAUACAUGGACCAAAACAAUUUUGCGACUGGUUUUAAGGUUGCAAUUGAGCACUUGCAGAAGACGGCUCAAGUCAACCUAGCUCAUCAAUAAACAGCCAAUUUGAAGAUAUGGAGAAGAAUCUAACUUUCUUGUGAGGCUUCAUGAAGAACAUGUGGCACCACUUAGAUCACAAACACAUGAGCUAGACUAUCCACGAAACUUGAUUAAACAGUCUACCACAUCAGAUGCUAAAGAAUGAAAUCGCAGAGACUAAUAACAAAUGAAGAGAGACAAACACUGCAAUUUGGGACCCCAGAUAAAUGGCGGGUUUACCUUGUGGGGGCAGUAUGACGCCGGUAGCUGAUCUAUGAAGGUUGAUCCCUCAUAGUGGGACUCAGAUCCUGUUGCCCCACAGUAUGGAAACAAACCCUUAAAGGAUCUGAGUCCAUACUUCCUCAACUUCCUCAACUUUGCAGAAUCACAUCUUCCAAGCAGUAUUCAGUCACACGUCUGGUUCCAAUCCCUAGAACAAUUGGACUGCAAUGCCUGCGGAUUUUCACUUGAUGAGAUUCUGUUUUCUAAGAUUAAAUACAAGCAAGAAAACAGACAUUCACCUCCAAUUAUAUCGAUCGGGCUUUGCGUUGGUCUUCAAAUUUAAAAUGCAGAACUGUAAUAUGUAUGUAUGCUGUUGGUAUGGUUCUUCCUAUUCUGGAAAUUGAACAUACAUGAGGAAUCUGCAGACUUUAUAUUUCAGCUUGCAUUCUCUUUUUACAAGAAGAAAAAUUAUGUAGCUUGCAUUCUCUUGUUACCUUGGAUUCCUACUCGUAGAUCUGGGCGUAUUUCGUGUAGCUAGCAAUUUGAAUGCAUGAGAUUAUGUGGCUGUGCCAGCGAGCCUGUCAGCCAGAAUGCAGAAGUCUAGGUCGUGAAAAUGCAUUGUUGAUUAGUUGUGUACUUACUGUUGGAGCUAAAAUGGUCGUAGUUCUUGUGCCUUAACUCAUCACAUGCAGUCCUCCUGCAUAGUUCGAAAAAAGAAAUAAUUCACAAAUCAAUACUGAGGAAGACAUAUAAUAGUAAGAUAAGAACAGCUAGCUAGCCAGCGGCCGAAGGACUCUUUCGGUUACCUGGCUUGUAAUCAUCAUCACCCAGUCGCUCACAAAAUUAUUCAGUACAGGGCCAAAAUCACAAUCGUCAAUCUCAUGAAAAUCUUUAAUCUCCCAUGCCGUUGGAUACACAUCAGGCCUAAAAAAGUUAUGCAAAAAAAAAUUCAAGUAUGAGAUGUAAGAUUCAGAGUACAGUCUUUAGAAAGAUAAGUUUUCUUUCACAACAAAAGCCAUCUAAACCAAGUCUGACGCCCACUAAAAACCAUCUAAAGAGGCAAUGUAAUUGACCAAUGGAUUGUUAUCUUACUUCAUUCAUGGAGUCCACAAGUGGGAUCAGAUGAGAAACUGAAGGUGGUGUUCCACUCUCUGUCCGUGCAAGAAUGCAAUCUUGCAUUCAAUACAUUAAUUACUCAGUAAAAAAACUUGCUGGUGCUUUCCGAACGGUUUGAGGCAUUAGACAUGGGAAGGGGAUCUCACCAGAUGAGGAGGUCCUGCCGAAGGAGGGGAUCCCAUAGGUCUCCGCGCCUUGAUCCGGCCAGAAGGAGCCGCCGUUGCCGCCGAUGGAUCAGGACGUCGGUGACAAGGCGGCGGCAGCGCGCUCACCAUGCGUCGGAGCGGACAGAUCGCGCGCGAUGGGGAAGGUGCUGGCGCGCGGAGGGCCCUGGCUCGAGGAGAUCCAGGUGACGCUGCCGGCGCUUGACGCCGCCGCCAUACAGAGCAACCCCUCCUCUGAAUCCAGAUCAAGCGAGGGUGGGAAAAGGAAAGGAAGAUACAGAUACCUACGAACGAAAAAUCUGGACGUGGGUAGGCCUCACCGGUGGAGGAAGGUCGGGCGAAGGGGCGGCAGUAGGCGGGCGAAGACGGUCGGCGGUGCAGGCGGGCAAAGACGGUGGGCUGCAGAUCCGCGACGUAUCUGAAGCGCCGGCGGGGACGGCGGCGGCGGCGGUUGCCGGCGUCGCGGAGGCGUGUCCCCGGAUCGGCGGCGGCGUCUGCGGCUGCGCCUCGUCCGCAUGGUGGCCGACGCGAGAGCCGGAUGGCGUUGGCCAGAAUCAGAGGAGGGGCGGCGGAGAUUUAGACGAGAGAGAGAGUGGAGACGAGGAGCGACGAGAGGAAGGAUGCGAACAACUGCGGGUCGGGUUUUUUUCGGGUGAAACAGGCGGUGAAAGCAGACGAAAAAAACCUACGAAAAAAACGGACGAAAAAAAACCGGAAGAAAGUGGUGGGACGGAAAUAAACCCAGAAUGCGGACUACCAACUGAGACAUUAGAAGUAGAGAUGGGGCAAUGUCGCCUUCUUUCUUGCCGCCAAAGUUGAUUGCUAUGUGCCCAACAAGGAAAUUUCGUUCCUUCACCAUAGCGGAAUGUGGCUCAGAUAUCCUAGUGGACGGUUUUGACCAUAUGCCACUAAUUUCUACAAACAAGCUAGUGGUUUAUCGAGUAGCCUAUCUUGCCAUUGGCAAAAUUGCCACGGUAACAAGCAUCGGAGGCAAUACUCUCUUCCUUGAUAUCAAUCGAGCAUCAACAUCAAAGAUAGCGAUAUUCUCAUCACAAGGAGUAUGACUAGUAGUUAUGGAGCGAUGCCUACCAUUACGAGCGAUACAAUUGUACAUUCUUGCAACGGUUAUCCUUUCUAGUACCAUCUCGGUAGCGCAAAAUGGUCGCAAAUAAUGGAUGAAUGUGAUGGUCCGUGUGGCUGCAAUUGUGGCCUCAUUUACCACAUAUACGAUUGCUGCCAUUGUACUCACAAGAGGGUCGAAGUGUAAUUGUUUCCCAGUUAGAGACUUAUAAUUUUGUGGUAUGUACCGCGAACUUGCUUGUUUAAUUCCAGCCUACAUAUAAGUAGUUUCUUUUUUCGAUAAAGGGUGGAUUUUAUUAACUCAAAAUGAAGCAUCAAGGGGAUACAAACACAUUGAGCACACACCCGGCCUCUGCAUAAUCAGGAUGCACACAGCCAACACCAACACACACAAAAAAGAAAAAAAAAACGCCAACAAAGAGCAAAGUCAUACAAGUCUCAAGCUAUGCCUAAGCGAGGGAAAAGAAAAAGAAAAUCACUCUGAAACGAUCAAAACAACGGUCGAUAAACUACAUCAACGACCAUAUCCGCACCAACCACCUCUUGACAGAACAAGCGCAACGAGAAAGUUUCUUCAACAGCAACGCCUUCAGAAAGGAAACGACGCUUAAACGUCGCCGUCACUAGACAAAGGUCAGACUCUAGGUUUUCACCCUGAAGAACAAGUCUGAGCACAUCCGAGCAAUGCCUUCAUCAAGGUAACGACGCAAAAACAUCGCCAUCGCCAGGUAUAACCAAUUCAGGUCAGACCUAGGGUUUUCACCCCGGAACUCGAGACCGGGUACUCGAGAAGCACCACCAAAUCGAAGUCAUCAUGUUGUCGCCACCACUUUCCGCGAUCCCAGCAGCUAAAAGUGAGGCACAGUCUUUACAUGCCGGCAUGACUUGCCGCUGCACAACCAUCUCCUCUGCGUCAAGCCGUCGUCCAUAGAAUUUAUCUCACCGCUGAAUGCAAGCUGGCCGGAUUGAGAGCCACCGAAACUCCCAAUGGAGCCUUCCGGUUACAUCACACAACCUCGCCAGUGCGAGCUGCUGGCAACAACCAGUGGAUCUUAAGAAAAACCUCUCAUGAAGACCCUUGAAUGGCCACUGCAAUCUGCGGCUCGAGUGGCCGGACGGCGCCGCCAUGGUCAGGACGAAAAUUGCCCCCUCGCAUCGAUCGGACGAACCACCUGCGGCCAAGUGACAAGCAUCGGUCAACCGAUGUAAGUCCCAAGGCGCCACCACCAACCUCCUUCGGCCUUGUGAUCUGCCGGCGGCAACAGCGGCGAGCGUCUUGGGUCGCUUGGGAAGAUGACCCUUAUCACCAACGCUGCCAUGCUCAACGUACUGGACAGCCGGAGGAAGCUUCGGUCCAAACCUGCAUGAUCUUGACCGCAGGCUGCUGGAGGAGAAUGGAUGGUCAUCUCCACCCAGGCCAUUGCCAAGGCAUCACCAUGCUGCCCAGUUCAGAAUCCCAGAUCGCUCUAGCCAUUGACCUAUGCAUGUCCCUGUGCACAGAUCGCCUGCCGCUGCAUGUCCAUGCGCAGAUCGCUCUAGCCUUCGGACGUUGCAUGAAGAUCGCUGCUGAGUUGUUGUUCACCUCGCGCGUCGUUCAGCUCCUUGCGUAGAAGCCAUCGCCCGGAGCCCCGCCGCCGCCGUCAGCCACACAGGGUUCGCCCGGCAGCGUCGUCCGGCGGCAGCGAGGGAAGCGAGAGAGGUGGGGAGGUCCCGAAGAAACUGGAUCGGGAGCCGCCCGUGCCGUCCGUCCGGACGACGUGGGGGCGGUUGCGUCGUCUAGUACUAUGUAUGGUUCUCUUGAUCUCGUUUGAAUUCAGCACGUGUUUACUACGGCUGACUAGCUACAUUACAUUUUUUUUGAGCAUCAGUACAGACACAAGCGCUCAUAUAUACGCGCAUACACUCACCCCUAUGAACGCACACACGUACACCCUACCCCUAUGAGCACCUCCGAGAGACUGAGCCGGCAUAUCAUCUUGAGAUUUACGAAGCCACCAUAGGCGCCUCGUCGUCGACGGGAACGUCUCCUUCCACUGAAAGCGCAUCGCCGGAAAUCCUGAAAUAAAUCCAGGAAUAAUGCGAGCACCAGGAUUUGAAUUGCUACUGAAAACAUAUGCUGGCAUGUGCACGUGUAUGUGUGUUUUUCAUUUUUAAUAAUCUUAAUAAGAUCAACCAUCACGGCACCGUAUCUGAUAAAAUCGGACAAAAUGAGCAUGGAGUACAUCCAUGUUUUCAUAAACAGCACUGGUGGAUUGGGGAGUCGGCAUUGAAACUGUAAAGGUAAAUGAUUCCAAUCGACCGACCGGCCGAGCGCAGCGCCGGUCGCUCGCACGCGUGCCACAUAGCUGUAGGCCCUGCGCCACGAUUGGGGAACCGUUCUGGAUCUGGCGCCGGUUAGCACUGGCCAACUGUAAACACUAGUAUCUUUACUUGAAAUUCUCUAUAAUAGAAAGUAAUUUUCUUCUAAUAAGAUAUUUAUUAUUAUUUUUGCAUUAUCCCUAUAAAAAAAGUAAAAUAGGGAAAUGAAAAAAUCAGUCAAAAUAAUGGCUAACUACAGAAGAAAGCAAAAUUUAUUUGAAUGUAGGCAACAGGAAAUCAUGGUGAGCCUUGAGCGAUUAAGUCGAGGAUCAUUUAUUCUCCCGCGGAUGCCCCAAGCUCCUAGUUUCGGUAUAUGUAACUUGCCUGUUAGGGAUCUCAAGACAUGUACUUGUUAGGGAUGGAGUGGGGAUCGAUCUAUUGUCUCACGUCUCGAUCACCUAGUCUCGAUUACAAGCACUAGUAGAAAAAGGGCCUAAUGUGAAGCUCAUUAGUCCCGGUUUGUAAUUGAACCGGUACUAAUGUGACCAUUAGUGCCGGUUCCAACGGCUAGGCGGGCGGCGCUCAUUAGUACCGGUUUGUGGCGAACCUUUAGUACCAGUUCGUGCCACGAAUCGGUACUAAAGAGGUGAUGGCCUUUAGUACGGGUUGGUGGCUCCAACCGGUACUAAAGACCCCCCCCCCCCUUAGUACGGGUUCGUGCGCCAACCGAUACUAAAGGGUGCGCUGCCACCCGCAGUGCACAAUGUUUAGUCCCACCUCGCUAGUUGAGAGGAGCUCACACCGGUUUAUAAGCCCCGCCGCGGCUACCGUGUCGAGCUCCUCUCUAAGCAGGCUUUUGUGGGCCUAUUGCAAGUCUUGUGCCCUAUGGGGCCUACUGGGCCGUACGGGCCUGCAUCCUGGCCCAACUAGAGAUUGGGUUUCUAGUUGUAUGCAGCCCGUGCCAGCCCAGUAGGUGGGCUGUUUUUGCUUUAUUUAAAAAAAUCAAAAAAAAAUCCUUUAGUCCCGGUUGGUGUUACAAACCGGGACUAAAGGUCCCCCAGAUCAGGGCGCGCCUCGUGUCACGUGGUGGCCCUUUAGUGGCGGUUCGUGUUGAACCGGUACUAAAGGGGGGGGGCCUUUAGUCCCCACACUUUAGUGCCGGUUUGCCGGUUAUAGAACCGGCACUAAAGGGCCUUACGAACCAGUGCUAAAGCCCGGUUCUGCAUUAGUGAAGCCCGGUUACAUGAAUUGGAAGAACAGUAGGGAAUGGAGAAUUUAGGGUUUGUGUCGCCGCCGUGCCUUUUGAUCCUCUGGAUGCCCUUUGCCUUCAAAGCGAGUGGCAUUCAUUUCAGCUUUUUUCUUUCUCUUCGUUUAGGCAUAGCUCCAGGCUUGUAUGACUUUACUUUUUGCCGGCGUACUUUGCAUGUGUGUGUGUGUUUGUAUUGGCUAUGUGCGUCCGAGUUAUGCAGAGGCCGGGUGUAUGCUCAUCAUGGUUAUAUCCCUUCUUUUAACAUAGUACAAUCGAAGUCUCUCAUAUACAUGAACAUACAUUCACCACUAUGAAUGCUUUGGGUAACUGCAGGUGCUAGAAAGUUGGGAUACUUGAUGACGCGAGAGUAGUUGGUCACCUUCAUUUGUGUUGUUGCAGCGCUGUCUAUGUAGUAACACAACCAUACUCUAUUCCUCUUAUUAAAUGAAUGAGGCAAAUCUUUUGCCUCUCUUCAAAAAAAAACUAUGAAUGCACACACGCACACCAUACUUCUAUGUGCACCUAGAAGAGACUGAACCAGCAUAGUACUCCCUCCAUUUCUUGUUACUCUGCAUAUAAGAUUUGGUCAAAGUCAAACUUUGUAAAGUUUGACCAACUUUGUAGAAAAAAAUAUCAACAUCUAAAACACUAAAGCUAUAUGGUAUGAAAAUUAAUUUCAUGAUGCAUCUAACAAUAUUGAUUUCAUAUUGUGAAUCUCGAUAUUUUUUUCUAUAAACUUAGUCAAAGUUAACAAAGUUUGACUGUGACCAAAUCUUAUAUGCAGAUUAAAAAGAAACGGAGGGAGUAUCUUAAGAUUUUACGAAGUCAUCACAGACACCUCACAGUCGAGGGGAACGUCUCCUCCCAUUGAAUGAACAUCGCCGUAAGCCUGAAAUAAAUACAGGAAUAAUGCGAGCACCAAUGCCAAGUCUAGGACUUGAAUUCUGGUGGGCUGAAGAUAUAUCAUCAUUCUCCUAACCAUCCAACCAUAGGUUGAUUCGCAUAGUUAUAUCCCUUGAUGCUCCGUUAUGAGUGAAUAAAAACAUCUUUUGUCGAACAAAAUGUGUUUUUCGCCGAUCUCCUCCUUUCAAUCAUCUCAAUAAGAUCAACCUUCACCGCACUGUAUCAGAUAAAAUCGUAGAUUACCCGCAAAAAGAAAAUCGUGCAUAAUUAGCACAUCCAUGUUUUCACAAACAACACGGGUGGAUUGGGGAGCCUUGGCCUACAUUACACGUACGCAAGUUAUGAAAAAACAGAGUAGUUUUAUAUGCACCGUUUUACUUGUGAGAAUAAAUUAUACUACUACUAUUAUUUUUUUGAUAAUGAUUUAUUCUUCAGAACUAUGAGAAUAAAUUAUGUGCAAAGAUUUUCUUUGAAGCAAUUUUUUUGAGGGGGUUGAGGCAAAUUGUUUACAGACAUUUAUUUUUUUGAGAAACCUUCUUUUUAGAACCGAGAAACCUUUUUUUUUUUACAUCACGAGAAACCAAAAAAAAAAAUUUGAGGAAACUGCACCCUUUAUUAAUGAUCAAUGUUCAUGGUGGUACAGAUUACAUCGGGCAAGGAUAACAGCCACACAUGGCGCCCAAGAGAAAGGGAAGAACUAGCUUUGCCAAGUGCGUGUGCCUCGCCAUUAUGUUUACAUGACGAGAAACCAAUUGUUUGCACAGAUAGUUGCGAUCUAGGAGUGGCUAACGGAGGCCAACUCUAGCAUAUACGGCCGGGCUGGGCUCCGACUCUCCUCAACUCGCAUAUUCCUGUCGCAAUUGAAAACAGAUCGCUCUUUUUUUCUAAAAAAAGAAAAAACAGAUCGCUCGAUGUCGACGUCCUCGUCGGCGAAUCAGUUGCGCCCUCCGCCUGUACCGGCUGGCUCCGCCACCGGCCCUGACGAGGCGUCUCCAUGGACGUCCCUCCCCGCGGAUCUGGUUCGCCUGGUCGGCUGGCGAGUGCUUGCCGGAGAUCUGCUCGACUACGUCCGCUUCCGCGCAGUCUGCACGCACUGGCGGUUCAGCACCGUCUGUCCCCGUGGCCGUGGCAUUGUGGAUCCGCGUUUUCACCCAGGCCGAUGGACGGUGCUGCCCGAGGGACAUGGAUUAGACUCUGACGACAAGGGCAAGAGACGCUUAUUCAGCCUCUCCACCGGAGUUUCCGUUUGCCCUCGACUUCCAAACGACUAUCGCAUCCUUGAUUCGGUCGACGGGAUCCUCCUACUGCAGCGGCGGCAGCGACAACACGAUCAAGGUAGCAUCCGUCUUUUCAACCCCUUUACCAGCGACAUUGUGGAGCUCCCGCCGCUCGGGUCCGUCGUGUCAGAUUCGAAACUCCACUUGAGUUCCCAUGAGAUAUCUACUCAUGUGGUACCUGGCGGCGUGGUCACCUCCUUGACGGUGAGCUCGGAUGGAGCCGCUGCAGUGAUGAUCUGGCUUGUAGAAUUAUCACGCGUCAUCUUUGCUACCACCAAGGACAAGCAAUGGAGCCAGUCGACCCAGAGGUUCUUUUGGACCAGGAGGCCUGUAUCAUUUCAAGGAAAAUUAUACAUCUUAUCUUAUGACCAACCUAGCCAUGCACAUCAGGUUCUCCAGAUGGGCCCGCCCAUGCAUGAGCAUGGGACAACCUCGGGGUUAGGUUCUCCUUUCUUACCGCCAUCACAGUUGAUUGCCACAUGUCCAACGAUGAAAAUCUCCGACGGUAUUGGCUUAGCAGAAUGUGACUCAGAGAUUUUGGUCAUAGCCUACAAAGAUUCUACACACACGCAUAUGGUGGUUUAUAGAGUAACUGAUCUUAUCGUCGGCAAGGUUAUCCCGGUGACAAACAUCGGAGGCAAAUCUGUCUUCUUUGAUACCGAAACAAGUAUGCAAACUGCAAAUAAUGGGGUGAUUCCUACGAUCACGAGCGACACCAUUGUGCUUCGGCGGCAUCACGAGAGAUGUCACCCUUGGCAGUACCACCUUGAUAGCGGCACUUGGUCGCCAACAACACACCCCAUGAGCCAUUGUGGCCUCAUUUGCCAUAUAUAUGACUGUUGUGGUUGUACACUGCGCGCCCAUGCCGGCUGGUGAGCUCUGGAUGUGAAUUGAUACUACUAAACAUGUACAAUUAUUUUCUGAUUUGGAUGUGCUAACUUGUUUUUCGGUUUAUGCAUGUACUCAGGACUGUCAGGGGUAGUAUGACCAAAGGAUCGAAGCAGCUGUAGCAAGAGAGGAGGCUCAACCUGGAUUGAAAGUGAAGAAGUGGUCGUCACUACUCUUAAUACUCUUAAUAGUAGUGAUGACUUCUCUUUGAAAGCCUUCUCAAAAUGAAAUUCUAUGGCAGCAGCGUUGUUUACCUAUCCGACACUUGCUUUUCUUUUUAUCGGCCUCUAGCUACUGGGGAUGAUUCUUAUGGAUGCUUGGGGCCAGUUCUUUCGGACAGUGGCUUUUGCAUAAGCUGCUAUGGAAAUAAGCCUCAUAUAAGCUGUUCUGGAAAUAAGUCCAUGAGAAUAAGCCAUCUUUUGUCUGUGCUUAUUUGCUAUGUUCUGUGAUGAAAAGUACCCCUAAACUGUACAUGUAUGACCUAUAUUUUGUAAUUUACGUUGUGUUUAUAGUAGCAGCAACUUGGACAACUUCAUUCAUAUUCUCUUUCAUUUUUAGCAAAGGUAUUCUUACUGCCAACUUGCAAAACGGCUAGCAGGACCAAAUCAAACAACAAUCAAACUGCUAGUGCUUGUAUACAAAUUUCUGAAUGCAUUCAGUAACAACUGCUCUUUUUACAGUAAGUAUUGGACCUGACCAAGAACUGGCCCUUGCAGUAGUUUGCUAUAUUUCUGAAUGCGCAUGACCACUACACUCCUGAAUCCUGAAGAGAUGUCAACAAAAAUCAGCUACAUCUCUAUGUCCAGGUCAUCAAGAAGUACCACUAGCAGAAAAGGGGUCAUUUGUCCCGGUUCUAGAGGGCCUUUAGUCUAAAGGAAAUUUUACGAAUUUUUUUUAUUUUUUUUCGAUUUUCAAAUUUCUGAAUUAUUUUACAAUUUAAUCUCUAAUCACCCAUCAUCAUUCCAAAUCAUCUAACUUCCCGGCCGGUCACCCAUCCUCUCACUACUCCAACCUGAGCACGCUUAACUUCUAGGUUCUAUUCCCAUUCGUUUCCAAGUCUGCACUUGUUGUUUUUCUGACAAUAGUAAGAUGUCUAUCCUAUUAACCCUCAGGAGUUUAGCUUGAGCAUGAAGUCACAAGUUUCACGGUUUGACUUUGAAACUAUUGUUCUAAAAAACAAUAAUUAUUUAGUAACACUAAUAUUUCUUGAGUAAGUAGUUUGACCAUAGUUUGACCAGAUUUGACCAAAAUUCAAAAAAAUUGAAAUAAUUAUUUAGUAACACUAAUAUUUUUGAAUAAUUAUGUAGUAACACUAAUACUUCUUGAAUAAGUAGUUUGACCAGAUUUAACCAAAAUUCAAAAAAAACUGAAAUUUGAGCAUAUCUUUUUUUUCUUUUAGAAUUUGAGGAUUCUAAAAGUUUGCAAACAAGCCGUAGGCGGUCAAAAUCGGAUGCGGAUUUUCAUGCUGAACAUUUUGAUAUAUUGUUAUUUUUUUCUGACAUCGUAUGGAAAAGUUAUAGCCGUUUUACUUUUUCAUGACACUUUUUUGCAAAACAUGUCCAAAUUUAAGUUUUUUUAUUUUCCUAACUAGUAGAUGUAGUAAUAUAACUACAUCUCGAACGAUUUUAUUUUUUGAAGUUUUUCUCAUUUUCUUUUGUUUUUUCAAAACUGAAAUGGUGAUAAGGGGGGUAGAGUUUGAGAAAUGGGCCCUUUAGUCCCUGUUUGAGAUACGAACCGGGACUAAAGGGUGCGCCCUUUAGUCCCGGUUUGAAACACGAACCGCGACUAAAGGGUGCGAUGCCCUUUUGUCCCGGUUCGUGUCUCAAACCGGGACUAAAGGGCCCAUUUGAACCGGGACUAAUGCCUUUAGCCGCUCGAACCGGGACUAUAUAACCGGGACUAAUGUGUAUAUUGCGCUGUGCCGAAACCCUGUUUUCUACUAGUGUACUGUGCCUUAGUCAUUAAGGUCAUACAUCUGGAUCUAUUUUGGUUUUACUAUACACUGUUAAGAAAAGUACUCGGCAUUGAAAAGCAUCACGUUCUGGCCCCACACACAAAAUUACAGAGGAAAGAAAGGAAUUUAUCGAUGAUGGCUAGAAAGAAAACAACGGGAACACACACAAAGACAUGCAUAACCGGUCAAACAUUAGGAAUCAUAUGCUUCUACGCGGUGUCAAAAGACAUCAUGUGUCGAAACUGCAGGACAAACCGAAGGAGGUAUAUACAAAAUACCCAAGUAAUCUCAUUAACAGCAAUCUCUGUUUUACACAUUCCAUCUUUCUAGGAUGAGUCUGCUCUAGAAACUUAGGUGUACCAACUUGCUCGCACGGAAGUCGCCACAAUGACAACAAUCGUAGAUAUGAUAAACAAGGCCACAGGUGCAAUCAUGGUAACCAUCAACACACCCCCAUGGCCGGUCCUUGGGACCAUUCGCCGCUAGAGAGGUCGUAGUACAAAGGAGAAUUAUCCUUGAGAUGCCGACGACGUACAAUGGUGUCGCCCACAGCAGUAGGUAUGACCUUGUAACUCACAGCAAUAGUCUCCCUCACAUAAACAGAGAUAUCAUCGUCGUCGAUGCUAAUUCCAUGGUCAAUAGUAGUGAAGAGAGUAUUACCUUCGAUGCUUCACUAGUAGAAAAAGGUCCAUUUGUCCCGUUUCAGAGGGCCUUUAGUCCCGGUUCUGGAACCGGGACUAAAGGGUCGGUACUAAAGCCUCCCCACCCCCCCCCCCUCCCCCCCUAGUNNNNNNNNNNNNNNNNNNNNNNNNNNNNNNNNNNNNNNNNNNNNNNNNNNNNNNNNNNNNNNNNNNNNNNNNNNNNNNNNNNNNNNNNNNNNNNNNNNNNNNNNNNNNNNNNNNNNNNNNNNNNNNNNNNNNNNNNNNNNNNNNNNNNNNNNNNNNNNNNNNNNNNNNNNNNNNNNNNNNNNNNNNNNNNNNNNNUGUGUUACGAACUGGGACUACCUCCAUGUGGCCGUUGUCUGGACCUCUAAAGGAAUUUUUUUGAAAAAAAAUUGAAUUUUUUUUAAAAAAAUUUGAAAUUUUCAAAUUUCUAAAUUAUUUGCAUUUAAUCUCUAAUCACCCCUCAUCACUCCUCAAUUUAAUCUCUAAUCUCUAAUCACCCCUCAUAAUUACAAAACGUCUAACUUCCCGGCCGGUCACCCAUCCUCUCACUACUCCAGCCUGAGCACGCUUAACUUUCGAGUUAUAUUCCCCCUUGUUUCCAAGUCUGCACUUGUUGUUUUCCCGACAAUAAUAAGAUGUCAAUGCUAUUAACCCUUAGGAGUUGAAGUUGAGCAUGAAGUCACACGUUACACCAUUCGAGAUUCAAACUAUUAUUCUUAAAACCAAUGAUUAUUUAGUAACACUAAUAUUUCUUGAAUAAGUAGUUUGACCAUAGUUUGACCAGAUUUGACCAAAAUUCAAAAAACUGAAAUAAUUAUUUAGUAACACUAAUAUUCUUUAAUAAUUAUUUAGUAACACUAAUAUUUCUUGAAUAAUUAGUUUGACCAGAUUUAACCAAAAUUCAAAAAAAACAUAAAUUUGAGCAUAUCUUUUUUUUACUUUUAGAAUUUGAGGAUUAUAAAAAUUUGCAAACAGGCCUACGGCAUUUUGAUAUAUUAUACGUUUAUUCCCGACAUCGUAUGCAAAAGUUAUAGCCGUUUUACUUUUUCAUAACACUUUUUUGCAAAACAUGUCCAAAUUUAUGUUUUUUAAUUUUCCUAACAAGUAGAUGUAGUAAUAUAACUACAUCUCGAAGGAUUUUAUUUUUUUGAAGUUUUUAUCAUUUUUUUUUGUUUUUUCAAAACUGAAAUGGCGAUAUAGGGGGGGUAGAGUUUGAGACACGAACCCCUUUAGUCCCGGUUUGAGACAAAAACCCGGACUAAAGGGCAUCGCACCCUUUGGUUCCGGCUCGUAUCUCAAACCGGGACUAAAGAUUAGCCUUUAGUCCCGGUUUGNNNNNNNNNNNNNNNNNNNNNNNNNNNNNNNNNNNNNNNNNNNNNNNNNNNNNNNNNNNNNNNNNNNNNNNNNNNNNNNNNNNNNNNNNNNNNNNNNNNNNNNNNNNNNNNNNNNNNNNNNNNNNNNNNNNNNNNNNNNNNNNNNNNNNNNNNNNNNNNNNNNNNNNNNNNNNNNNNNNNNNNNNNNNNNNNNNNNNNNNNNNNNNNNNNNNNNNNNNNNNNNNNNNNNNNNNNNNNNUGCCCUUUAGUCCCGGUUCGUGUCUCAAACCGGGACUAAAGGUCUCAUUUGAACCGGGACUAAUGCCUUUAGCCGCUCCAACCGGGACUAAUGCACACAUUAGUCCCGGUUCGUAAUGCAGCCGGGACUAAUGUGUAUAUUGAGCUGUGACCAAAGCCCUGUUUUCUACUAGUGCUUGUUACCGGGACAACCUUGCCCAUGAUAAGAUCGGCUACUUUGUAGACGAGCAUGCGGCCCUUGAAAAGUGGGUUAGCGUCGUGACCAAUCACUAGGAUCUCCGAGACACAUUCUUCCAUGUAGAACAUGGCAGAAAUUUUGUUAGUGGGACACGUGGCAAUCAACCUUGGUGGCAACAAAUAAGAUGACAUGGCGUGAUGAUCAAGGCGGGGUGGAUCGAUCUGGAGAAUAUGUUGUUCACGGUGAUGUGUGGUGGGAGAAUCCAACACAAACAAUUUCCCUUGGGAUGAUAUUGUCUCGGAGUACCAUCCGAUAUUCCAAGUCGAGACACUCCAGUGCUGGUCCUUAGUAGUAGCAAAGAAUACACGUGAUAUAUUGUAAAGCUUGAUCAUGACUGCGACGAAUCCAUCAACAGUUACGCUAAUGGAUGUGACACUACGGAAAUCAACCCGUCCUGUGCCAUCGGACAUAUCCAAGUUGGCUCUUACAAGGGACAUGAGCGGUGGUAGCUCCACAAAGUCGCCAGUGAAAGGGUGAAGGACCCGGAUCGCGGAGGUGUCUUGGCUUUUCCGUUGCAAGAGGAGGAGGCCAUUGGCCGAGUCAAGGACAUAGCUAUCGCUUAAGAAGGGAAGCCAGGCACGGACGAAAACUCCUGUGCAGAGAUUGAAGAAACGUUUCUUGACGUCAGCAGGCUGAAGGCCGUGACCCUCGGGCAGCAGGAACCACCUCUUGGGGUGGAAGCGUGGGUCGACGAUGCCAUGGCUCCGCGGGGCGAUGGUGCUGGACCGCGAGUGGGCGCACACGACACGAAAUCGGACAUAGUCUAGUAUAUCUCCGGCCAGCACCUGCCAGCCGAGUAGACGAACCAAAUCUGCAUGCAGAGACGACCAUGCAUGAUGGAGAGAUGUCGUCUUGGGAGCUGGCGGCGGCAUCAGCGAUGGCUGAUGCGCCAUCGCGGUUGGCCCGUGAUGAUGACAUUGGUGGAUCGAUCGCAGACAACGAAUCUUCUCUAUUCUCUCGAAAAGUCCUACAUCCCGAGGGACAGCUGAGACGCAGACUACGUACGACUCCGCUACGAGGAGAUUAAACGGGGAUCCUAUACGGCGCGUACCGCACCCGCGAGCGCCGUGGCGCAUACCCCGCCUCGCCCGCCAUUGUUUCUAUGGGCCGGCCCAUUUCGGAGUUUAACCCCAACCGGUUUUGGGAAGGUUCUAGAACCUUCCCGGAACCGGGUUUUUAUAUUUUUCUUUCGGUUUUUAUUUUUCUUUUUUCGUUUUUUCUUUUCCUUUUUCUGUUUUCUUUUCAUUUUUUUUACUUUUACGUUUUCAUUUUUAUUCUUCUUUUUCAAUUUCCGAAAAUCUAUUAAUUCGUGAUUUGUUUCUAAAAUCGUAUUUUUUUUGAAUGAUGAACAUUUUUGCCAAAAUCGUGGUUUUAUUUUUACUAAAUCGUUACUCUUAAAUCAUGAACAUUUUAUAAAAACUCAUAAACAUUUUUUUUUCAACAUGAACAAUUUUUUUAGAAAUUUGUGAACAUUCUCUUAAGUCAUGAACAUGUUUUUCAAAUCAUGAACUUUUUUUUUGAAAUAAUGAACAAUUUAGAAUUAAAGACUACUUUUUCAAAAUCAUUAACAUUUUUUCCGAAUUCGUGAACAUUUUUAGAAUUAGCGAACAUUUUUUUGAAUCGUGAACAUUUUUUUGAAUCACCUUUUCCAAAUUCGUGAACAUUUUUUGAAUUAGCGAAACUUUUUGUUUGAAUUUUUUAAAUUAUGAACAUUUUUUAAGUUUGUGAACAUUUUUUACAAAUUCGUGAACAGUUUUUGAAUUCGAGAGCAUUUUUCUGUAAUCAUGAUUUACUUAUUUUGUGAAUAAUUUUCAAUUUCACGAACAUUAUUUUGAAAUCAUGAGCAUUUUUAAAUUUGUGAACAUUUUUUGCCAAAUUCAUGAACAAUUUUUUAAUUAUCAAGCAUCUUUUUGGAAAUCAUGAAUUUUUUUUAAAUCAAGAUUGUUUUAAUAAAAAAUGGCAACUUUUCUGAAAUUUAGGACCUUUUGAGAUCCUGAAUUAUUGAAAAAAAGAAAAGGAAAAAAAUAGAAAAAGGAAACAUCCGCAAAAAAAACAGGCGGCGUCCCGGCCACACAUGGGCCGGCCCAGAAGGGGAGCGGGGGGUGCGCGCCCGCUUCCUUCGCAGCGCGUGCUGCGCCCUAUAGGCGCUCCCGAGAUCAAAGAGAGCAACUAAUUAACGAGCGCUCCUUUGGGAGCCUCGCAACGAUCAGCGCCACUUGGCGCGAUCUCAGCCAUUCUCCACGUGUCGCGCUCUGGGCGCUCCCUUCGAAUUUUGUUUUUUUUUUUUUCCACACGCGUUUGCGGCUUUUUUAACAGGUUUUUUUUACGUUUUGGUUUUCCAUCAGUCUUCCUUAGCUUUCGAUCAAAAAAAAAUUUGAAAAAAAAAAUUGCGCAAAAAAACGUGUUUUCUUUUUUUUUCUUUCGCGAGAGGCACGGUUGUGCUUUCGCGAGAGUCACGGCCGUGCCUCUCGGAAACGGAAAAAAAACGUGUUUUCUGUUUUUUUUCGUUUCACGAGUCACGGUUUUCUUUCCGUGAGAGUCACGGUCGUGCCUCUCGAAAACGAAAAAAACAUUAUUUCUGUUUUUUUUUCUUUCACGAGAGUCACGGUUUUUCUUCCGCGUGAGGCACGGUUGUGCUUUCCCGAGAGUCACGGCCGUGCCUCUCGAAAAUGAAAAAAAACGCGUUUUCUGUUUUUUUUCUUUUGCGAGUCACGGUUUUUCUUCCGCGAGAGGCAUGGUUGUGCUUUCGCGAGAGUCACGGCCGUGCCUCCUCGGAAACGAAAAAAACGUGUUUUCUUUUCUUUUUUUCCUUCCGCGAGGGUCACGGUUUUACUUGCGCGAGAAGCGGCACGUUUGUGAUUUCGUGAGAGGCACGGGCGUGCCUCUUUCGGAAAGGGAAAAACCCGUGCUCCCGGUUCGGUUUUUUCGUCCGAUUUUUUUCAUAAAAAAAAAUUCGUCAAAACCUAUCAACAUGGGAUCUAGUUUGGAAGAUCUCAACGCGAGGAAUCAAAUAGUGAAAGCGGUUUGAGAGAUAAAACGUUUUGAAUAAACGGAUCUACGAAAAAAGAGAAAACUUUCAGGUUGCGACAAAUGGCGCGCUGCAUGUGCGCCACUUGCCGCAACCUGGGGAGUUGGAGUGAUCUUUGCAACGAGUACUCCUCAAUUAGUGAUUUCGGCUUACUGCCUGGACCAGUCGAGUUGACCAGGACAGCAACCAAACAGGCCUAUCUAAAAUGGAUAUAUGAAUUGGGCACAACAAAAAAAUUGCUAACAGGCACAACAAAAAAUUCCCAAUCAUAAAGCAUCACUUAAUCUUCAUAAAUAGUGCGAGUACACAUUGUUGCGCAUUUAUUUAUAACACACAAAGUCUCGGCUCUUCCCCACUUAUUAUUAAUAGAAGAUUUCCACGAUAAAACCACCGACAUGCUACUGCCUUAAGCUCUGCAAAAUAUACUGUGCAUACAGGUCCCUGCGGUGAAAAAAAGAAAAGAAGCGUCAACGUAAACCAAAAGACACAUUCACCAUCAUCACUUAUGAAACUAAAGGAAAAAAUACAUCUUGGCAGAUAUCAACACGAAACUGUACUUACAUUGAAUACUGAAUGGCCUCGCGGGCAGUGGUCGCAGGUAAGAACGCAUCGACAGCGACCUCCUUGUUCUCAUUCUUCUUGUCUAGAAGUUACGGCUAAGGAUGCGAAAAAAUGUACCUCUAAAUUAUAUACAGUAGUAUAUAAGAUACUCUGCUACUGCAUGUAACAAGGAAAACAAAUAAAUCGGAUUAUGCAGGAUACAGUCCUCAAAGAAGCGCUUGAUCUCUUGGAGGCGGUGAGGAGACAGCUCACUGAUGUCAUUGUAGUGACGGUAUUCAGGAUCAUCGGCGCAGACUGCUAUGAUCUUGUCAUCCUUUUCACCCUGAUGACAACCAACCGCCAUCCUCAGUAAAACAAGGUAAGGCUAUUUUCGUUCAUCUCCCAUUACCGUGCAGAGAAUGAACAAGGAAUACCUGAUCAAUCAUGGGCAUAAGGCCAAUUGCUCUAGCUCGGAGGAAAGAACCAGGAAUAACAGGCUCCUGUGAGAGAUAAAAGAGCAACACAGUGAUCACUACCCCCUCUGUUUCAGUUUAUAAGGUCUGCACAAUUUGUCUCAAGUCAAACCCAUAAAUUUUGACCAUGAUAUUGUCAAGUUUAUGAGUGCUCAACUUAAGACAAACCAGAUCAGCCUUAUAAAAUAAAAAGGAGAUAUAUUAUGCUUGGAGUGCAUGAACAUCGGAAGACUAACCUGCAUCAGGACCAACACAUCCAUUGGAUCGUUGUCUUCACAAAGUGUCCUCGGAAUGAAACCAUAGUUAUGAGGAUAUACAACUGAUGAGUACAGAACUCUAUCAACCUGUCAUGUUGUAUAACAUAAUAACGAAACUACAUUAUGCUUUGACGAAAAAUAGCAAAAUAAGUUAACUCAUGAGUACAAGACUAAAUCAAUUUAGCAAGCACAGCAACAGAGGUGCAUUAUGCUGGUGGAUGCUUUUGAAUUUAUCAUUCCUUACACAAGUACAGUAAAAAAUAUUAAAGCAAUUCAUUGUGAUGCAACAGAAAGUGUUGAUCAAUAGAUCUUAUAUACAACCAGAACACACCUUAAUCAGUCCAGUUUUCUUGUCAAGCUCAUAUUUUACUUUGCUUCCCUUUGUGAUCUCAACAACCUGCAGUAAGAUAUACAUGUAAACAGUUAACUUCAUGAGUUAGAAAGCACUGCCAGGACCAACUUUACAUAACGAGUCUAGCAUCGUUAACAGAAAUACCAAAGACCACUCAAUAUAUACGUGUGUUACUGAGAAGCAAUUUUGCUAAACAGUAGAUUAAAUGAUAAAUGCAUCUCAAUGUUGCACAACUAUAUAUCAACUGCUCAAUAAAGUUAACAUGUUGUUGAAAAAUUGUACGUUGGGAAAAAUGGUUAGAUUAAAAGCGCUUCUCUUUCAAUUUCAAGCCUAGAAACUAGUGCUACAAUUCGUAAGUCACAAAAAUAAUAAUAUCAAGGGACAAAAUUCCAGAGGUAACUACAGGUCUAAAAUCACAGUGACAAUUUUACUUGUAUCACAAUCAUAGACCCAAUCCAGCCAAAGGAGAUUUAAAUAGUUACAGAAUCAACAAAUCAAGUAGAGGCAUGCUGAAGGCAGUGAUACCAGGUUAUCAACAGAUAGUGCACAACUGCACAUCCAAUACUAAUCAUACUACCAUCAUUAGCCUCAAUAUUGAUGAUAGGCCAAUUGAAUUCAGUAUAAGUAUAAAACAGUGAGAACCGGUAGCUGAAUUCCAUGUAUCAUGCUAUUUUUAUUUUCGUAUGGUGGGUAGAUUUGUGUGCCAUUUAAUACUGAUUGCUUCAUUUUAACAUUUUAACUGGCAUGUCUAUACACUACUGAACUGAAACGGAUGAGGAAAACAUUGAAUUGUUACCACAGGCUCUUACAAUUGCAAUACUGAUCGAACAUCCAGUUAUUUUGAUUCAGACAUAGCCCAAAUCACCUUUUACCAAGCGCAACCUUACAUAAACUAAAAAGAGGCUGUCUGGUAUAUUCUGGUUGUCACUUUCAGUUUAAGAAAUAUUUCAGCAACGACAGAAAUUCAAUAUAUUUCAGUGAUUUCAGUUUGCAUUUUCGCCAAAGGGCCGUAACAUUCACUUGAAUUAUUUGAAAAAUAUUUGAACUCAUGUGUAUCACUAAAAUUACUGAAAUAUUUUAACGAAAGGUAAAUAUUUCACUGAAUUUCAUCGAGAUCUCACUGAAAGUGAAAACCAACUGUUGCCUACUUCCUAGUACAGAUUGCAAUGAAGCAUCAAAAUUGUGCUUCAGAAUCAACUGCAUCCUGCAGAGAACCUACUCCCUGGUCCAAUAAUCCCCUGCCACCACUUGCCCAAGAACCAACUUCCUAAUUUACUUCGCGACAAAAGAACAUCAAAUAUCUUAACUGACGAAGAUGUUCAGCCGGCAAGGCAAAAAGAUGGUACUUACAACAUUGAACACCGCUGGAGCCCCAGGGCCUGUGCACCAAACACUCAAUCAGCAAUUCAGCAUGCUUAUUUUUUUAUGAAGGCAUUCAGUAAUGGAGAAAAGGCGGCUCCUCCUCCUCACCAAUCUCGAGAUCAUGCCACGGAUGCGCGGCCACCGCCCUCCUCGACAGCGACGACAGGAUCCUCUCGUUGAGCUUCGGGGCUGGCCGGCUCUGCGCGCUCGUCGAGUCCUCUUGGCUCAUCCUGCUGCCUACCAAGAUGAAGCCACGAAUCAGACCUCGGAAGAGGAACACGUCCCCUUACAGAAUGAAACAGCACGCAUGUUGGUUUCAUCCGGCGAAAUUUCAUGGUAGAUAGUUUCUUUCCCUGCUCGAAUUAAACACUGCCAGCUACAGAGUUCAGGGGCACGCCCGUGCACAGCAGCAGAGCAGAGUAGCCCCUUUUGACCCGAUUGGUGCUUGGUUCCUAGCCACGCCUAGAUCGAGUCUCCGCGAGGAACAUGAACAGAUCAGCCGCACAGAACACGGAGAGAUCGAACCGGAGUUCGCCGGCGGCGAAAUCGGGACAAGACAGAGCAAAUCGACAGUGGCGCCUAGCUAACCGCCUUGUAUCGGAUCGACGCGAUUGAAAAGAAGCUUUUGGGUCACCUGCGCUGCGGUUGGAGGCGGCCUCUUGAAACGACGAGCGACGGCGGCGGCGGCGGCCUCUUGAAGAGUAGAUUGACUCCUCUGCUCUGCUCACUCUGCCGCAGGCGCUUAAAAUGGCAGGGAGUGAAUGCUGAUUGCUUUGGCUUUUCCAGCCAGCACCCUGCUCGAUUAUUUAGUCACCGAUCAGUCCCUGGGUAGAGUCUAGCCUAACGAGUAACCACUACGUACUCAUCUCUUUGUAUUUUUAUGCUGUCCAACUAUAUAUUAAUACUCGUGUGUCACUCACAUCUCCUUUGUAUUUUGAAAUGAGGACAAAGUUUGGUUAAAAGCAAAAGAUGGCCAGGGGGUAAAAAAUGAGCAUGUCUCUCUCAAGGAACAUAAAGAAAAGGAACACAUUAUUGUAUCCCUGUAAAAGAGGCGCACGCACCCAUUAAUUUAUCAAUCUGGCUGCGACAUUCUGUAACCACGGGUUGCACUAGUUUAGUGAUAGUGUUGCAAGUGCUAGAUACACGACGGAAACAGUUUGUUGUUUUCGCUCACAAGGAUCAUGGUGUCCACCAACUUGUUGUUCGAAAAUCCGAGCCGCGGUUGAUUCGUCGGGGACAAGCAAUCACAAUACGACACCUAGAUUUGUUAGCGAGUUUAGCCGACAUGACUUUAUCCAAGAACAUGACUACGCAUGCUCCUAGUAGACAAAUUAAGAUGAAGCAUACCCACCUUGUAUCAGAUCAAUGAGAAGGAAAAGAAAGUUUCUGAACCGGAGGAAGAGUCAUCUGCCUUGCGGUUGGAAACCGCUCGACGGUGGCGGUGGUGGGAGGUAGAGGCGAGAGAGAUCAAAUCAAGCGCUUGAAAUAGAAAGGAGUGGAUGCUGAUUGCUUUGAGUUUUAGUCACCAUGCUGCUUUAUCCCUCUAUUAGCAUAUCAGCCCUAGGUAUGUAGUAAGUGGGGGAGUAAUAUUCAAGUGUCACACAUAUCCCUUUUUGUAUUUUGAAAUGAGGACAUGGUUUGGUUAAAAGGAAAAGUUGGCCGGAGAGGGUACAAAAUGACACUAGUAGAAAAAGGGUCUAAUGUGAAGCUCAUUAGUCCCAGUUUGUAAUUGAACCGGCACUAAUGUGACCAUUAGUGCCAGUUCCAACGGCUAGGCGGACGGCGCUCAUUAGUACCAGUUCGUGGCGAACCUUUAGUACCGGUUCGUGCCACGAACCGAUACUAAAGAGGUGGUGGCCUUUAGUACGGGUUGGUGGCUCCAACCGGUACUAAAGACCCCUCCUUUAGUACGGGUUCGUGUUGAGAGGAGCUCGCACCGGUUUAUAAGCCCCGCUGCGGCUACCGUGUCGAGCUCCUCUCUAAGCAGGCCUUUUGUGGGCCUAUUGCAAGUCUUCUGCCCUGUGGGGCCUACUGGGCCGUACGGGCCUGCAUCCUGGCCCAACUAGAGGUUGGGUUUCUAGUCGUAUGCAGGCCGUGCCGGCCCAGUAGGUUGGCUAUUUUUGCUUUAUUUCAAAAAAUAAUUCAAAAAAAUCUUUUAGUCCCGUUUGGUGUUACCAGACUAAAGUUCCCCCAGACCACGGCGCGGCUCGUGCCACGUGGUGGCCCUUUAGUGGCGGUUCGUGUUAAACCGGUACUAAGGAGGAGGGGGCUUUAGUUCCCACACUUUAGUGUCGGUUGCAAAACCGGCACUAAAUGGCCUUACGAACCGGUGCUAAAGCCCGGUUCUGCACUAGUGUGAUCAUGUCUCUCAACUCUCAAGGAACAAAAAAGAAGCACCUUUCUCUAUCCAUUUCGUUCUUUUCUCCGAAAGACUUAGUAUCGACUUGCUUGGAUGAAUAGGACAAGAUGUGACGAUUUUAGCUCUGUGGUGUGCAUCUUGGGAAACAAAGAUAGAAAUAUGUGACUUGGGUUUCCAAUAAAAAGACGAGCGCAUCGAGUAGAAUUUCUUAAUGUUAAUUUUCGAAGGUGGUGUGUGUCUUCUUAUUCUUUCUACAUAGAGCUUGUACCAUUUUCCUUGUUAACUGGGAGAAAACAAUACGCUCGAGUAAAUUGGUGAGGAGAACCCACUUUGAAAAGAAAUCGAGAAUUUUAACUCAAGUAGGCUCUUGCCAUGCAUGGGGCCGCUGGCCUGCUUUAAGAGUGUGUGCGUGUGUGUCUGGUUCGCGCUUAAUUUUGUUGAAGCAAAAAAGCUUCUAAGCUAAAAUUUGAGUUAGGGCAAUGUCCAACACUGACAUGGAAAUUGGCUCCCCCAUCCGUCUGUGGAGCGGGGAUCAGUCCUUGGACAGUGAUGCAGAAGCCGGCCAUCCAAAGCUAUCGUCUACAUUUCCGUCAGUAAACAGUAAUUUGAGAUUUAAAGAAACUUCGGUCCACAUCGCACGCCAGAUCACACUAGUGCCAGAUCACAUGUCCAAUCACAAUAAAAAAGAGGCAAGUAUAUGCUUAGCUUUUAUAUGCCCGAUCACAAUCAAAAAGAGGCAAGUAUGUUAGCAUGCCCGAAAUCACAAUAAAAAAAAGCAAGUAUGCUUCUGUUUUUACAUGCCCGGUCACAGAAGACUAUCUAUCCGGCAGUCCGUGCAAAAGUUUUUACAUGGCGGAUAACAGCGUGCUGGCACCCAUCUGCUCCCCGCCUGUCGUCCAUGCCCGAACAGGCUGCACUGUGAGAAGAGCUGUUUGGCGGGGUUGUUGUGGACUGUCUACCGAGCUGUUUGACGGUGUAGAAGUACAUAUGAAGCCUUGUAAUGCUCCGACCAUGACAGUGACUGUACAAUGGGCGACACUAUCGGGGCACCGCGGCCUAGGCGCGACCUCCACCACGUUCGUGACUAGCAUGCCCACCUCCACGUCCACCACCAGCACGUCCUCGGUCGGCCUUCUGCUUCUUGAGUGUUUCCUCCUUUGCGGCCUUCGCUUUGACGCGAUGAUUUUGCCGCGUCGCCGAGUUGAUCUUUCGAGCGAGCGCGAUGCUCGGAUCCUCCACCACCGCCAUCUCCGGCAGGUUAUCCUCUGGUACCAUGAGUCGGAGGCGGGAGGGAAGAAGAGAGUGGGAGAAAAUGAUGGAAUUGGGUGGAGAGCGGGGGGUGGAAGAAGAGAGUAGGAGAUUUUGCUGCGAAAACAGUGAGUGCAGCUACAAAAGCACGGGCUCUGCCUUCCUCUUGGGCGGACUGGGGGUGUCAGAGUCCGUUGUGUCUCAUGUCCGGACUCUCGCAAAGCCCUCCAUAUUUGGUUCUGGUCCGGGAAAAAAAAUCGUGAUCCGGACUGCUUCGCGGACAGAUGGGAUCGGCGUUUGAUGACUUCCGGGUCUAGACAGCUGCGUCCAGACGGAUACUACUAGUGUGAAUGUCGGUGUUGGAGAUGUGCUUGCCUAUGAAUCGAAUAGUAUUGGCUAGAAAAUUACUAGAGUCUGUAAGAACGGAAACAUUGACGCUCGAUUUAUGUUAAAAAGGUAAUAUCCAAAAAUGGAAUCGCCAAAGGAUAUGCAAGUUUAGCAAUAACGUAAAUGGACUAAUGGUAGUACCAACUAAUACUAUAGAAGAUUUAGCACAUGCCCAUGAGUUUUUUCUGUAAUAGGAUGAAAAUAGUAGCUCCAGGAAAGAAUAGAAGCACCCAGCCGUAGAAAUGUUCGCUACUACUUUGGUUUGGACCUGACUGGUUGAUAAAAAAAACGAGAAAGCAUUCACGGGCCCUGGCAGCUUGUUGAGGGCGCUCGGACGCAUCGUGGCUGUUCAUGCCCGAUCGUGUGUUCCUCCUGAAGGAGUGAAGUUGCCAUCGGAUGAGAUCUGAUGGCUGGCCCAAGUGGGUUUGGUCCUAGGGGCCAUCGGGCGCUUGUGCCGUGGGAAUUGUUCUGUUCCCCGGCCGUAGCCCAUUCUGAUCUUGGGUGUCCACGGGCGACGGGCUCAAGUGUUGCGCCGGUCUCGUGGCACGCGGGUUCGCUCACCUAAACCCCCUAUUAACUCCCUUUUUUUUCUACACUAGUACAAAUGCUCAUUGCAAAAUCGGAAAACUUGCUCCGUGUGCAUUGCAUGCCAUUUCUCACAUCCAAUUCUGAUGAACAUUGGUCAUAAGGCUACACGGUUUCGCUUUUCACAGCAUGAAUGUGGACGUGAAGAAGCUACCCUAAUCCUUCAUCUGAUGGAAGAGUAGUGGUAAAUGGACAUGGAAUAGUGUGUCAAUCGGUUUUAUUUUGUACUUUUCAGAAAACGUGAAUAUUUCUUUAAUUUUUUAAAUAAAAUUGAACAUCUUUUCUUUUUUGAAUUUUUUUUAUACAUUUAGAACAUGUUCUGAAGACGAAUAUUUUUGGAACACAUGUAUAUUCUUUUAAAUGGAAUUUUUUUUGGAAUGUGUGAGCAUUUUUUUAAAGCGUGAACGUAUUUAAAAAUGUGAAUAAUUUUUUAAAGCAACAACAAUUUGAAACACUCUUUAUCUUAAAAAUGUGAACCCCACGUCCCAAUAGGAGGAGUCCUCGGCGUAGUUCGGGUAGCCGUGUAGUUCAAAAUCUAGGGCAGCACGACGGAGGCGGAUCUCCUCCAUCCACGCGCGGGCUGACCGAGGCACCACCGACACCGGCACCCUGUAAGGGUUGAGGUGCCAACCAUGCGGCAGGUUGACAUUCCGCUACGGCGCCGAGAUGCAGUUCUGCCAGUGGUAGACACGCUGGUGGACCGGGAGGUAGUGCCGCAGGCACGGACGCUCAGGUUGGCGUGCCCCCAACAUCGACGGCGUGUUGGUGAAGUUCGCCAAAGCCGCCUUGCGGUCAUGCUUGCCAUGGCCGGGCUAGCCACUGCGUUUGAAAAUACCAAUGGGCAUGGCCGGCAUCGUAGAUGGCACGCUGCUCCGCACCUGAUGGAGCGCCGACAAAGGCGUCGGCGUAGGCUGCACCUCCGCCAUGGCGGCAUUGGACUGCGUCUGCGCCUGCUCCAUGGUGAAGCCGGUAUGCACCGGAGGUGCGGGAGUCGGGACGGUGUCGUUGGAGCCCGUCUCCGUCGUGGUGUUGUCCUCGUCGUCGGAGACCUCGAGCGAGCUGGCCGGCAAGCCGGCCUCGAUCCGCCUGGCACGGCGGCUAUGCUAGGCGGCGGCAAGGGCCACCGCGUGCUUCAUCUCCGACGACAGACUGUCCCACUGUGCUUUCCUGCUGGCAGUAAUGGUGAAUGCAGUGCAAGGGAGGAGGAUGUGGAGGGACUUGUAGUGUGGUGUGGAGUUAGCCGGGUGUGGCUGUUGGGGAUCGUAGCAGAAAUUUAAAAUUUUCUACGCAUCACCAAGAUCAAUCUAUGGAGUCAUCUAGCAACGAGAGAGAGACUGCCCUCCCUCCCCCCCUCCUAUAUAUAGGCCUCCUGGGGGGCGCCUGUAGGAGAUAUGCCCUAGAGGCAAUAAUAAAUGAUAUUAUUUAUCUCCGAGUUCAUAAUUAUGUUUAUGUUCCAUGCUAUAACUGCUAUGGUUCUCAAGUCUGCAAUAACCACGAGGCUCGGAGGAAGACUCAUAUGCACGUGUGGAAUAAUAAACGGUAAAAUGUAUUCCUAGUCUGGCCUCUAAGACUAGCUCAAGUGUUGCAUGAUGGUUAUGUUUUCCUGAUCAUGGGCAUGUCUAUGUCAGCAACCUUGAGGGCACAAUGUUAAGAGAACAUUUGUGUUGAAUCGACCCGGCAUGAUGUUAUGCUAAGAGAUUCAUUCGUCACAAGUUAAUGGUACAUAACACAGAGAUGGUUAACGUUUGCAUGAUUCCUUAGGCCAUGAGAGUAUCGAGUUUCUUCAUGCUUGCUUCAUGAACUUUGGGGUUUGUUAAACGUCAUCCGUAAAUGGGUGGCUAUUACGGCGGCUUACGGGUUCAUGGAAAAGUGUGUCAAGUAACUUGAUAGCUCAAGAUUGGGAUUUGCUCCUCCGACGAUGGAGAGAUAUUCUCGGGCCCUCUUGGUAUUACGGUAUCCAUCAUCGUCUGGCCAGACACAGUGUGAUUUGAUCACUGGGAUGCCGGAACACGGAAACGAGAAAAGAGAACAAAACCGGUAACGAGGAAACUUGCAUGGUGGACAAAUUGUUCGUCCAUGGGCAUGCAAUAAAUCUCACCUCGGGUGUUUGUGACAUAUCGCGAAGCAACAGGAAUAGCUCACUGCAACUGGAGGUUCACUCGAAUAUUCAUUCGUGUGGGUAUAGGGGUCAAUAUGGGUGUCCACGGCUCCGAUGUUGAUCAUUGAUCGGAAGGGGUUCCAGGUCAUGUCUAUACUUCACCGAACCUAUAGGGUCACACGCUUAAGGGUCAUCUAUCUACUGAAUACUAGACAGGGAGUCUGAGAGAAAAUCACCGAAAACGUUUCGGACACCGAAAAGUUUCGGACAGCGGAAUCGUACCGCAGAGAGAGGUCAUCGGAUAAGUUUCGAUGAUACCGAAAAGUUGUUUCGGGAUACACCAUUAAGUCAAAUUGGUUUCGGCACAUGCCUGAUAAUUCUUGGAGGAUGCCAGAAUCAUUCUGGAAGCUUUUUGGAAUUUUCUGAGAUAAAAACCGGAAAUGUUCCGGAGCUGCCGGAGCCACUUCAGAUGCUUUUCGCAGAUGAAAAUCACUAAACCGGAAUUGUUUCGGAACGCGUUGAAAAUAAUUUUGGUGGGUACUGGAAAUGUUCUAAGCCCACAUAAAUAUUUUCAGUUCGAACAGACGCUGAAAAAUGUCGUCAUGAAUAGUGAAAGUGCUUUUUGGGAUAUUUUAUGGUGAGUCACCUUUUGGGAUAUCUCCAAAAGGCUUCUAGAAGGGCUUGGGGGCCAAGCAUGCUCCUCAUGGGGGUCCCCCAAGGGGGUUGGCCGGCCACAUGUGUGGGGCUCCAUGGAGCUCCACUUCAUUCCCCAUUAUGCCCUUCAUGUGUGACAUUUGCAUGGGCAUUUUGGGUUUUUGUGAGCCAUCCCUACCCCUUGGCUUUCCUAUAAAUAGAGGAGGAGUGGGCAGCCCAAACCUCAUCCCUUCUCACAUACAAGUGCCAUGCAAUGAUCUGGCUUCUCUCUCCCUCCCCGCGAAAUAGUUUCGUAGAGCCGAAAGGCUGUCUGGGUUCCGGCAGGAACUAGUUCUGGACGGCGAAGCCCUGCCGGAUAGAUGACACCGUAUGUGUGCAACUCUGUAGAGAGAUCGUAGUUUCGGUCUUAGUUCGUGAGUGCCUCCCGAAGGGCUGUCCAUGUGACCGUCCGAGUUUCGAAGGUCCUCCCGAAGGGCUGUCCUCGACACCGUCCGGGGGGCUGUUCGAUCGCCUCCCGGAGGGCUGUCUGAGGAGCAGAUGAGGGUAUACAUCCUCGCGGUUGGGAGGUUGUAAAUCCUAGCUGCGGGGAUCUGCACCGCCGAUCGUCUCCCCGCUGCGCUACGAGUCGGUAACGAAAAAGAUCAAACCAUGUAUGCAGUCUCCAUAGUGGUCCUGGGCUGGUGCGUAGGUCGGAAAAUUUUUGUUUUCUGUCGCGUUACCCUACAACGCCGGCCCUAGGAGAUCUGAUCUCCAAGGGGGGCGGCGGCCAAGGGGUGGCUUCCCCCCCAAGCCAAGUGGGGGGCGCCCCCACCCCUAGGGUUUCCAACCCUAGGCGCAGGGGAGGCCCAAAGGGAGGAGGGCGCACCAGCCCACCAGGGGCUGGUUCCCCUCCCACUUCAGCCCAUGGGGCACUCCGGGAUAGGUGGCCCCACCCGGUGGACCCCCGGGACCCUUCCGGUGGUCCCGGUACAAUACCGGUGACCCCCGAAACUUUCCCGGUGGCCGAAACUGGACUUCCUAUAUACAAUUCUUCACCUCCGGACCAUUCUGGAACUCCUCGUGACGUCCGGGAUCUCAUCCGAGACUCCGAACAAAUUUCGGGUUACCGCAUACUAAUAUCUCUACAACCCUAGCGUCACCGAACCUUAAGUGUGUAGACCCUACGGGUUCGGGAGACAUGCAGACAUGACCGAGACGACUCUCCGGUCAAUAACCAACAGCGGGAUCUGGAUACCCAUGUUGGAUCCCACAUGUUCCACGAUGAUCUCAUCGAAUGAACCACAAUGUCGAGGAUUCAAUCAAUCCCGUAUACAAUUCUUUUUGUCAAUCGGUACGUUACUUGCCCGAGAUUCGAUCGUCGGUAUCCCAAUACCUUGUUCAAUCUCGUUACCGGCAAGUCACAUUACUCGUACCAUAAUGCAUGAUCCCUUUACCAACCACUUGGUCACUUUGAGCUCAUUAUGAUGAUGCAUUACCGAGUGGGCCCACAGAUACCUCUCCGUCAUACGGAGUGACAAAUCCUAGUCUCGAUCCAUGUCAACCCAACAGACACUUUCAGAGAUACCUGUAGUGUACCUUUAUAGUCACCCAGUUACGUUCUGAUGUUUGGGACACCCAAAGCACUCCUACGGCAUCUGGGAGUUACACGAUCUCAUGGUCUAAGGAAAUGAUACUUGACAUUGGAAAAGCUCUAGCAAACGAACUACACGAUCUUUGUGCUAUGCGUAGGAUUGGGUCUUGUCCAUCACAUCAUUCUCCUAAUGAUGUGAUCCCGUUAUCAAUGACAUCCAAUGUCCAUAGUCAGGAAACCAUGACCAUCUGUUGAUCAAUGAGCUAGUCAACUAGAGGCUCACUAGGGACAUGUUGUGGUCUAUGUAUUCACACAUGUAUUACGAUUUCCGGAUAACACAAUUAUAGCAUGAACAAUAGACAAUUAUCAUGAACAAAGAAAUAUAAUAAUAACCAUUUAUUAUUGCCUCUAGGGCAUAUUUCCAACAGUCUCCCACUUGCACUAGAGUCAAUAAUCCACCGAGCUACAAGAGCAACCGCACCGGUAUCAAAUACCCAGGAGCUACUACGAGUACUGGUAAGGUACACAUCAAUUACAUGUAUAUCACAUAUACCUUUGGUAUUGCCGGCCUUCUUGUCCGCUAAGUAUUUGGGGCAGUUCCACUUCCAGUGACCACUUCCCUUGCAAUAAAAGCACUCAGUCUCAGGCUUGGGUCCAUUCUUUGGGUUCUUCCCGGCAACUGGCUUACCGGGCGCGGCAACUCCCUUGCCGUCCUUCUUGAAGUUCUUCUUACCCUUGCCUUUCUUGAACUUAGUGGUUUUAUUCACCAUCAACACUUGAUGUUCCUUUUUGAUCUCCACCUCCGCUGAUUUCAGCAUUGAAUAUACCUCAGGAAUGGUCUUUUCCAUCCCCUGCAUAUUGAAGUUCAUCACAAAGCUCUUGUAGCUCGGUGGAAGCGACUGAAGGAUUCUGUCAAUGACCGCGUCAUCCGGGAGAUUAACUCCCAGCUGAGUCAAGCGGUUGUGCAACCCAGACAUUUUGAGUAUGUGCUCGCUGACAGAACUGUUUUCCGCCAUCUUACAACUGAAGAACUUGUCGGAGACUUCAUAUCUCUCGACCCGGGCAUGAGCUUGGAAAACCAUUUUCAGCUCUUCGAACAUCUCAUAUGCUCCGUGUUGCUCAAAACGCUUUUGGAGCCCCGAUUCUAAGCUGUAAAGCAUGCCGCACUGAACGAGGGAGUAAUCAUCAGCACGUGACUGCCAAGCGUUCAUAACAUCUUGGUUCUCUGGGAUGGGUGCGUCACCUAGCGGUGCUUCUAGGACAUAAUCUUUCUUGGCAGCUAUGAGGAUGAUCCUCAGGUUCCGGACCCAGUCCGUAUAGUUGCUGCCAUCAUCUUUCAGCUUGGUUUUCUCUAGGAACGCAUUGAAGUUGAGGGCAACGUGGGCCAUUUGAUCUACAAGACAUAUUGUAAAGAUUUUAGACUAAGUUCAUGAUAAUUAAGUUCAUCUAAUCAAAUUAUUCAAUGAACUCCCACUCAGAUAGACAUCCCUCUAGUCAUCUAAGUGAAACAUGAUCCGAGUCAACUAGGCCGUGUCCGAUCAUCACGUGAGACGGACUAGUCAACAUCGGUGAACAUCUUCAUGUUGAUCGUAUCUUCUAUACGACUCAUGCUCGACCUUUCGGUCUUCCGUGUUCCGAGGCCAUGUCUGUUGGGGAUCGUAGCAGAAUUUUAAAAUUUUCCUACGCUCACCAAGAUCCAUCUAUGGAGUAUACUAGCAACGAGGGGAAAGGAGUGCAUCUACAUACCCUUGUAGAUCGCGAGCGGAAGCGUUCCAAUGAACGUGGUUGAUGGAGUCGUACUCGCCGUGAUCCAAAUCACCGAUGACCGAGUGCCGAACGGACGGCACCUCCGCGUUCAACACACAUACGGUGCAGCGACGUCUCCUCCUUCUUGAUCCAGCAAGGGGGAAGGAGAGGUUGAUGGAGAUCCAGCAGCACGGCGGCGUGGUGGUGGAUGUAGCGGGAUCUCGGCAGGGCUUCGCCGAGCUUCUGCGAGAGGGAGAGGUGUAGCAGGGGAGGAGGGAGGCGCCCAAGGCUAUACUUUUGCUGCCCUCCCUCCCCCCCUUUAUAUAGGCCCCCUGGGAGGGGGGNNNNNNNNNNNNNNNNNNNNNNNNNNNNNNNNNNNNNNNNNNNNNNNNNNNNNNNNNNNNNNNNNNNNNNNNNNNNNNNNNNNNNNNNNNNNNNNNNNNNNNNNNNNNNNNNNNNNNNNNNNNNNNNNNNNNNNNNNNNNNNNNNNNNNNNNNNNNNNNNNNNNNNNNNNNNNNNNNNNNNNNNNNNNNNNNNNNNNNNAACCCUAGGCGCAGGGGGGAGGCCCAUGGGGGGCGCCCCAGCCCACUAAGGGCUGGUUCCCUUCCCACUUCAGCCCAUGGGGCCCUCCGGGAUAGGUGGCCCCACCCGGUGGACCCCCGGGACCCUUCCGGUGGUCCCGGUACAAUACCGAUAACCCCCGAAACUUUCCCGGUGGCCCAAACUGGACUUCCUAUAUAUAAUUCUUCACCUCCGGACCAUUCCGGAACUCCUCGUGACGUCCGGGAUCUCAUCCGGGACUCCGAACAAGUUUCGGGUUUCCGCAUACUCAUAUCUCUACAACCCUAGCGUCACCGAACCUUAAGUGUGUAGACCCUACGGGUUCGGGAGACAUGCAGACAUGACCGAGACGCCUCUCCGGUCAAUAACCAACAGCGGGAUCUGGAUACCCAUGUUGGCUCCCACAUGUUCCACGAUGAUCUCAUCGGAUGAACCACGAUGUCGAGGAUUCAAUCAAUCCCGUAUGCAAUUCCCUUUGUCAAUCGGUAUGUUACUUGCCCGAGAUUCGAUCGUCGGUAUCCCAAUACCUUGUUCAAUCUCGUUACCGGCAAGUCUCUUUACUCGUACCGCAAUGCAUGAUCCCGUGACUAACGCCUUAGUCACAUUGAGCUCAUUAUGAUGAUGCAUUACCUAGUGGGCCCAGAGAUACCUCUCCGUCAUACGGAGUGACAAAUCCCAGUCUCGAUCCGUGCCAACCCAACAAACACUUUCGGAGAUACCCGUAGUGUACCUUUAUAGUCACCCAGUUACGUUGUGACGUUUGGCACACCCAAAGUACUCCUACGGUAUCCGGGAGUUGCACGAUCUCAUGGUCUAAGGAGAAGAUACUUGACAUUGGAAAAGCUCUAGCAAACGAACUACCCGAUCUUUUAUGCUAUGCCUAGGAUUGGGUCUUGUCCAUCACAUCAUUCUCCUAAUGAUGUGAUCCCGUUAUCAAUGACAUCCAAUGUCCAUAGUCAGGAAACCAUGACUAUCUGUUGAUCAACGAGCUAGUCAACUAGAGGCUUACUGGGGACACGUUGUGGUCUAUGUAUUCACACAUGUAUUACGAUUUCCGGAUAACACAAUUAUAGCAUGAACAAUAGACAAUUAUCAUGAACAAAGAAAUAUAAUAAUAACCAUUUAUUAUUGCCUCUAGGGCAUAUUUCCAACAGUCUCCCACUUGCACUAGAGUCAAUAAUCUAGUUACAUUGUGAUGAAUCGAACACCCAUUGCGUCCUGGUGUUGAUCAUGUUUUGCCCUAGGGAGAGGUUUAGUCAACGGAUCUGCUACAUUCAGGUCCGUAUGUACUUUACAAAUAUCUAUGUCUCCAUUUUGAACACUUUCACGAAUGGAGUUGAAGCGACGCUUGAUAUGCCUGGUCUUCCUAUGUAACCUGGGCUCCUUCGCAAGGGCAAUAGCUCCAGUGUUUUCACAGAAGAGAGUCAUCGGGCCCGACGCAUUGGGAAUCACCCCUAGGUCGGUAAUGAACUCCUUCAUCCAGACUGCUUCCUGUGCUGCCUCCGAGGCUGCCAUGUACUCCGCUUCACAUGUAGAUCCCGCCACGACGCUUUGCUUGCAACUGCACCAGCUUACUGCUCCUCCAUUCAAAAUAUACACGUAUCCGGUUUGUGACUUCGAGUCAUCCAGAUCUGUGUCGAAGCUAGCGUCGACGUAACCCUUUACGACGAACUCUUCGUCACCUCCAUAAACGAGAAACAUAUCCUUAGUCCUCUUUAGGUACUUCAGGAUAUUCUUGACCGCUGUCCAGUGUUCCAUGCCGGGAUUACUUUGGUACCUUCCUACCAAACUUACGGCAAGGUUUACAUCUGGUCUGGUACACAGCAUGGCAUACAUAAUAGACCCUAUGGCCGAGGCAUAGGGGAUGACACUCAUCUUUUCUAUAUCUUCUGCCGUGGUCGGGCAUUGAGCCGUGCUCAAUUGCACACCUUGCAAUACAGGCAAGAACCCCUUUCUUGGACUGAUCCAUAUUGAACUUCUUCAAUAUCUUGUCAAGGUAUGUACUCUGUGAAAGACCAAUGAGGCGUCUCGAUCUAUCUCUAUAGAUCUUGAUGCCUAAUAUAUAAGCAGCUUCUCCAAGGUCCUUCAUUGAAAAACACUCAUUCAAAUAGGCCUUUAUACUUUCCAAGAAUUCUAUAUCAUUUCCGAUCAAUAAUAUGUCAUCCACAUAUAAUAUGAGAAAUGCUACAGAGCUCCCACUCACUUUCUUGUAAACACAGGCUUCUCCAUAAGUUUGUGUAAACCCAAACGCUUUGAUCAUCUCAUCAAAGCGAAUGUUCCAACUCCGAGAUGCUUGCACCAGCCCAUAGAUUGAGCGCUGGAGCUUGCAUACUUUGUUAGCAUUCUUAGGAUCGACAAAACCUUCCGGCUGCAUCAUAUACAACUCUUCCUUAAGGAAGCCGUUAAGGAAUGCCGUUUUGACGUCCAUCUGCCAUAUCUCAUAAUCAUAGAAUGCGGCAAUUGCUAACAUGAUUCGGACGGACUUCAGCUUCGCUACGGGUGAGAAAGUCUCAUCGUAGUCAACCCCUUGAACUUGUCGAUAACCCUUAGCGACAAGUCGAGCCUUAUAGAUGGUCACAUUACCAUCCGCGUCUGUCUUCUUCUUAAAGAUCCAUUUGUUUUCUAUGGCUCGCCGAUCAUCGGGCAAGUCAGUCAAAGUCCAUACUUCGUUUUCAUACAACGAUCCUAUCUCGGAUUUCAUGGCUUCCAGCCAUUUGUCGGAAUCCGGGCCCGCCAUCGCUUCUUCAUAGUUCGAAGGUUCACCGUUGUCUAACAACAUGAUUUCCAAGACAGGGUUGCCGUACCACUCUGGUGCGGAACGUGUCCUUGUGGACCUACGAAGUUCAGUAGUAACUUGAUCCGAAGCUUCAUGAUCAUCAUCAUUAACUUCCUCCCCAGUCGGUGUAGGCACCACAGGAACAUCUUCCCGCGCUGCGCUACUUUCUGGUACGGAAGGGGUGACUAUCACCUCAUCAAGUUCCACUUUCCUCCCACUUACUUCCUUCGAGAGAAACUCUUUCUCUAGAAAGGACCCGUUCUUGGCAACGAAGAUCUUGCCUUCGGAUCUGAGGUAGAAGGUAUACCCAAUAGUUUCCUUAGGGUAUCCUAUGAAGACGCAUUUCUCCGACUUGGGUUCGAGCUUUUCAGGUUGAAGUUUCUUGACAUAAGCAUCGCAUCCCCAAACUUUUAGAAACGACAGCUUAGGUUUCUUCCCAAACCAUAAUUCAUACGGUGUCGUCUCAACGGAUUUCGACGGAGCCCUAUUUAAAGUGAAUGCGGCAGUCUCUAAAGCAUAGCCCCAAAAUGUGAGCGGUAAAUCGGUAAGAGACAUCAUAGAUCGCACCAUAUCCAAUAGAGUGCGAUUACGACGUUCGGACACACCAUUUCGCUGAGGUGUUCCAGGCGGCGUGAGUUGUGAAACGAUUCCACAUUUCCUCAAGUGUGCACCAAACUCGUGACUUAAAUAUUCUCCACCAUGAUCUGAUCGUAAGAAUUUUAUUUUUCUGUCACGUUGAUUCUCAACCUCACUCUGAAAUUCCUUGAACUUUUCAAAGGUUUUAGACUUGUGUUUCAUUAGGUAGACAUACCCAUAUCUACUUAAGUCAUCAGUGAGAGUGAGAACAUAACGAUAUCCUCCGCGAGCCUCAACACUCAUUGGACUGCACACAUCGGUAUGUAUGAUUUCCAAUAAGUUGGUUGCUCGCUCCAUUGUUCCGGAGAACGGAGUCUUGGUCAUCUUACCCAUGAGGCAUGGUUCGCACGUGUCAAAUGAUUCGUAAUCAAGAGACUCCAAAAGUCCAUCUGCAUGGAGCUUCUUCAUGCGCUUGACACCAAUGUGACCAAGGCGGCAGUGCCACAAGUAUGUGGGACUAUCGUUAUCAACUUUACAUCUUUUGGUAUUCACACUAUGAAUAUGUGUAACAUCACGUUCGAGAUUCAUCAAGAAUAAACCAUUGACCAGCGGGUCAUGACCAUAAAACAUAUCUCUCAAAUAAAUAGAACAACCAUUAUUCUCGGAUUUAAAUGAGUAGCCAUCUCGAAUUAAACGAGAUCCAGAUACAAUGUUCAUGCUCAAAGCUGGCACUAAAUAACAAUUAUUGAGGUUUAAAACUAAUCCCGUAGGUAGAUGCAGAGGUAGCGCGCCGACGGCGAACACAUCGACCUUGGAACCAUUCCCGACGUGCAUCGUCACCUCGUCCUUUGCCAGUCUCCGUUUAUUCCGCAGUUCCUGUUUUGAGUUACAAAUAUGAGCAACCGCACCGGUAUCAAAUACCCAGGAGCUACUACGAGUACUGGUAAGGUACACAUCAAUUACAUGUAUAUCACAUAUACCUUUGGUGUUGCCGGCCUUCUUGUCCACUGAGUAUUUGGGGCAGUUCCGCUUCCAGUGACCACUUCCCUUGCAAUAAAAGCACUCAGUCUCAGGCUUGGGUCCAUUCCUUGGCUUCUUCCCAGUAACUGGCUUACCGGGCGCGGCAACUCCCUUGCCGUCCUUCUUGAAGUUCUUCUUACCCUUGCCCUUCUUGAACUUAGUGGUUUUAUUCACCAUCAACACUUGAUGUUCUUUUCUGAUCUCCACCUCCGCUGAUUUCAGCAUUGAAUAUACCUCAGGAAUGGUCUUUUCCAUCCCUUGCAUAUUGAAGUUCAUCAACAAACUCUUGCAGCUUGGUGGAAGCGACUGAAGGAUUCUGUCAAUGACCGCGUCAUCCGGGAGAUUAACUCCCAGCUGAGACAAGCGGUUGUGCAACCCAGACAUUCUGAGUAUGUGCUCACUAACAGAACUAUUCUCCCCCAUUUUACAGCUGAAGAACUUGUCGGAGACUUCAUAUCUCUCGACCCGGGCAUGAGCUUGGAAAACCAUUUUCAGCUCCUCGAACAUCUCAUAUGCUCCAUGUUUCUCAAAACGCUUUUGGAGACCCGGUUCUAAGCUGUAAAGCAUGCCGCACUGAACGAGGGAGUAAUCAUCAGCACGUGAUUGCAAAGCGUUCAUAACGUCUUGGUUCUCUAGGAUUGGUGCUUCACCUAGCGGUGCUUCUAAGACAUAAUCUUUCUUGGCAGCUAUGAGGAUGAUCCUCAGGUUCCGGACCCAGUCCGUAUAGUUACUGCCAUCAUCUUUCAUCUUGGUUUUCUCUAGGAACGCGUUGAAGUUGAGGACAACGUGGGCCAUUUGAUCUACAAGACAUAGUGUAAAGAUUUUAGACUAAGUUCAUGAUAAUUAAGUUCAUCUAAUCUAAUUACUCAAUGAACUCCCACUCAGAUAGACAUCCCUCUAGUCAUCUAAGUGAAACAUGAUCCGAGUUAACUAGGCCGUGUCCGAUCAUCACGUGAGACAGACUAGUCAAGAUCGGUGAACAUCUCCAUGUUGAUCGCAUCUUCUAAACGACUCAUGCUCGACCUUUCGGUCCUCCGUGUUCCGAGGCCAUGUCUGUACAUGCUAGGCUCGUCAAGUCAACCUAAGUGUAUUGCGUGUGUCCCGAGGCCAUGUCUGUACAUGCUAGGCUCGUCAACACCCGUUGUAUGCGAAAGUUAGAAUCUAUCACACCCGAUCAUCACGUGGUGCUUCGAAACAACGAACCUUCGCAACAGUGCACAGUUAGGGUGAACACUUUCUUGAAAUUAUCAUAAGGGAUCAUCUUACUUACUACCGUCGUUCUAAGCAAAUAAGAUGCAAAACAUGAUAAACAUCACAUGCAAUCAAAUAGUGACAUGAUAUGGCCAAUAUCAUUUUGCUCCUUUGAUCUCCAUCUUCGGGGCACCAUGAUCAUCUUCGUCACCGGCAUGACACCAUGAUCUACAUCAUCAUGAUCUCCAUCAUUGUGUCUUCAUGAAGUUGUCACGCCAACGAUUACUUCUACUUCUAUGGCUAACGCGUUUAGCAACAAAGUAAAGUAAUUUACAUGGCGUUAUUCAAUGACACGCAGGUCAUACAAAAUAAUAAAGACAACUCCUAUGGCUCCUGCCGGUUGUCAUACUCAUCGACAUGCAAGUCGUGAUUCCUAUUACAAGAAUAUGAUCAAUCUCAUACAUCACAUAUAUCAUUCAUCACAUCUUCUGGCCAUAUCACAUCACAUAGCACUUGCUGUAAAAACAAGUUAGACGUCCUCUAAUUGUUGUUGCCAGUUUUUACGUGGCUUGUAGGUUUCUAGCAAGAACGUUUCUUACCUACGUAAAACCACAACGUGAUUUGCCAAUUUCUAUUUACCCUUCAUAAGGACCCUUUUCAUCGAAUCCGUUCCGACUAAAGUAGGAGAGACAGACACCCGCUAGCCACCUUAUGCAACUAAUGCAUGUCAGUCGGUGGAACCUGUCUCACGUAAGCGUACGUGUAAGGUCGGUCCGGGCCGCUUCAUCCCACAAUACCGCCGAAACAAGAUAAUACUAGUAGCGGCAAGAAGAAUUGGCAACAUCAACGCCCACAACUGCUUUGUGUUUUACUCGUGCAUAGUAACUACGCAUAGGCCUGGCUCAUGAUGCCACUGUUGGGGAUCGUAGCAGAAUUUUAAAAUUUUCCUACGCUCACCAAGAUCCAUCUAUGGAGUAUACUAGCAAUGAGGGGAAAGGAGUGCAUCUACAUACCCUUGUAGAUCGCGAGCGGAAGCGUUCCAAUGAACGUGGUUGAUGGAGUCGUACUCGCCGUGAUCCAAAUCACCGAUGACCGAGUGCCGAACGGACGGCACCUCCGCGUUCAACACACGUACGGUGCAGCGACGUCUCCUCCUUCUUGAUCCAGCAAGGGGGAAGGAGAGGUUGAUGGAGAUCCAGUAGCACGACGGCGUGGUGGUGGAUGUAGCGGGAUCUCGGCAGGGCUUCGCCGAGCUUCUGCGAGAGGGAGAGGUGUAGCAGGGGAGGAGGGAGGCACCCUAGGCUGUUCUUUUGCUGCCCUCCCUCCCCCCCUUUAUAUAGGCCCCCUGGGAGGGGGGGCGCCAGCCAAGACCCAUCUAGAUGGGGGGGCGGCGGCCAAGGGGGGUAACUUACCCCCCAAGUCAAGUGGGGCACCCCCCCACCCUAGGGUUUCCAACCCUAGGCGCAGGGGGGAGGCCCAUGGGGGGCGCCCCAGCCCACUAAGGGCUGGUUCCCUUCCCACUUCAGCCCAUGGGGCCCUCCGGGAUAGGUGGCCCCACCCGGUGGACCCCCGGGACCCUUCCGGUGGUCCCGGUACAAUACCGAUAACCCCCGAAACUUUCCCGGUGGCCCAAACUGGACUUCCUAUAUAUAAUUCUUCACCUCCGGACCAUUCUGGAACUCCUCGUGAUGUCUGCGAUCUCAUCCGGGACUCCGAACAAGUUUCGGGUUUCCGCAUACUCAUAUCUCUACAACCCUAGCGUCACCGAACCUUAAGUGUGUAGACCCUACGGGUUCGGGAGACAUGCAGACAUGACCGAGACGCCUCUCCGGUCAAUAACCAACAGCGGGAUCUGGAUACCCAUGUUGGCUCCCACAUGUUCCACGAUGAUCUCAUCGGAUGAACCACGAUGUCGAGGAUUCAAUCAAUCCCGUAUGCAAUUCCCUUUGUCAAUCGGUAUGUUACUUGCCCGAGAUUCGAUCGUCGGUAUCCCAAUACCUUGUUCAAUCUCGUUACCGGCAAGUCUCUUUACUCGUACCGCAAUGCAUGAUCCCGUGACUAACGCCUUAGUCACAUUGAGCUCAUUAUGAUGAUGCAUUACCGAGUGGGCCCAGAGAUACCUCUCCGUCAUACGGAGUGACAAAUCCCAGUCUCGAUCCGUGCCAACCCAACAGACACUUUCGGAGAUACCCGUAGUGUACCUUUAUAGUCACCCAGUUACGUUGUGACGUUUGGCACACCCAAAGUACUCCUACGGUAUCCGGGAGUUGCACGAUCUCAUGGUCUAAGGAGAAGAUACUUGACAUUGGAAAAGCUCUAGCAAACGAACUACACGAUCUUUUAUGCUAUGCUUAGGAUUGGGUCUUGUCCAUCACAUCAUUCUCCUAAUGAUGUGAUCCCGUUAUCAAUGACAUCCAAUGUCCAUAGUCAGGAAACCAUGACUAUCUGUUGAUCAACGAGCUAGUCAACUAGAGGCUUACUAGGGACACGUUGUGGUCUAUGUAUUCACACAUGUAUUACGAUUUCCGGAUAACACAAUUAUAGCAUGAACAAUAGACAAUUAUCAUGAACAAAGAAAUAUAACCAUUUAUUAUUGCCUCUAGGGCAUAUUUCCAACAAUGUCUGUACAUGCUAGGCUCGUCAAGUCAACCUAACUGUAUUGCGUGUGUAAAUCUGGCUUACACCCGUUGUAUUCGAACGUUAGAAUCUAUCACACCCGAUCAUCACAUGGUGCUUUGAAACAACGAACCUUCGCAACGGUGCACAGUUAGGGGGAACACUUUCUUGAAAUUAUUGCGAGGGGUCAUCUUAUUUAAGCUACCGUCGUGCUAAGCAAAUAAGAUCUAAAACAUGAUAAACAUCACAUGCAAUCAAAUAGUGACAUGAUAGGGCCAACAUCAUUUUGCUCCUUUGAUCUCCAUCUUCGGGGCGCCAUGAUCAUCUUCGUCACCGGCAUGACACCAUGAUCUCCAUCAUCAUGUCUUCAUGAAGUUGUCACGCCAACGAUUACUUCUACUUCUAUGGCUAAUGUGUUUAGCAAUAAAGUAAAGUAAUUUACAUGGCGUUAUUCAAUGACACGCAGGUCAUAAAAAAAUAAAGACAACUCAUAUGGCUCCUGCCGGUUGUCAUACUCAUCGACAUGCAAGUCGUGAUUCCUAUUACAAGAACAUGAUCAAUCUCAUACAUCACAUAUAUCAUUCAUCACAUCCUUUUGGCCAUAUCACAUCACACGGCAUAUGCUGCAAAAACAAGUUAGACGUCCUUUAAUUGUUGUUGCAAGUUUUUACGUGGCUGCUAUAGGUUUCUUAGCAAGAACGUUUCUUACCUACGCCAAAACCACAACGUGAUAUGCCAAUUUCUAUUUACCCUUCAUAAGGACCCUUUUCAUCGAAUCCGUUCCGACUAAAGUGGGAUAGACAGACACCCGCUAGCCACCUUAUGCAACUAGUGCAUGUCAGUCGGUGGAACCUGUCUCACGUAAGCGUACGUGUAAGGUCGGUCCGGGCCGUUUCAUCCCACGAUGCUGCCGAAACAGGAUAAGACUAGUAGUGGCAAGAAAAAUUGACAACAUCUACGCCCACAACAAGUUUGUGUUCUACUCGUGCAUAGAAACUACGCAUAGACCUAGCUCAUGAUGCCACUGUUGGGGAUCGUAGCAGAAAUUUAAAAAAAUUUACGCAUCACCAAGAUCAAUCUAUGGAGUCAUCUAGUAACGAGAGAGAGUAGUGCAUCUACAUACCCUUGUAGAUCGCAAGCGGAAGCGUUCAAGUGAACAGGGUUGAUGGAGUCGUACUCGUCGUGAUCCAAAUCACCGAUGACCGAGCGCCGAACGGACGGCACCUCCGCGUUCAACACACGUACGGUUGGGGAAGACGUCUCCUCCUUCUUGAUCCAGCAAGGGGGAAGGAGAGGUUGAUGGAGAUCCAGCAGCACGACGGCGUGGUGGUGGAAGUAGCGGGGAUCUCGGCAGGGCUUCGCCAAGCUCAGCGAGAGGGAGAGGUGUCACGGGAGGGAGAGGGAGGCGCCAUGGGCUGUGGUUCGGCUGCCCUCCCUCCCCCUCCUAUAUAUAGGCCUCCUGGGGGGUGCCGCCCCUAGGAGAUCUGAUCUCCAAGGGGGGCGGCGGCCAAGGGGUGGCUCCCCCCCCAAGCCAAGUGGGGGGCGCCCCCACCCCUAGGGUUUCCAACCCUAGGCGCAGGGGAGGCCCAAAGGGGGGGCGCACCAGCCCACCAGGGGCUGGUUCCCCUCCCACUUCAGCCCAUGGGGCCCUCCGGGAUAGGUGGCCCCACCCGGUGGACCCCCAGGACCCUUUCGGUGGUCCCGGUACAAUACCGGUGACCCCUGAAACUUUCCCGGUGGCCGAAACUGGACUUCCUAUAUACAAUUCUUCACCUCCGGACCAUUCCGGAACUCCUCGUGACGUCCGGGAUCUCAUCCGGGACUCCGAACAACUUUCGGGUUACCGCAUACUAAUAUCUCUACAACCCUAGCGUCACCGAACCUUAAGUGUGUAGACCCUACGGGUUCGGGAGACAUGCAGACAUGACCGAGACGACUCUCCGGUCAAUAACUAACAGCGGGAUCUGGAUACCCAUGUUGGCUCCCACAUGUUCCACGAUGUUCUCAUCGGAUGAACCACAAUGUCGAGGAUUCAAUCAAUCCCGUAUACAAUUCUUUUUGUCAAUCGGUACGUUACUUGCCCGAGAUUCGAUCGUCGGUAUCCCAAUACCUUGUUCAAUCUCGUUACCGGCAAGUCACUUUACUCGUACCAUAAUGCAUGAUCCCGUGACCAACCACUUGGUCACUUUGAGCUCAUUAUGAUGAUGCAUUACCGAGUGGGCCCAGAGAUACCUCUCCGUCAUACGGAGUGACAAAUCCCAGUCUCGAUCCGUGUCAACCCAACAGACACUUUCAGAGAUACCUGUAGUGUACCUUUAUAGUCACCCAGUUACGUUCUGAUGUUUGGUACACUCAAAGCACUCCUACGGCAUCCGGGAGUUACACGAUCUCAUGGUCUAAGGAAAUGAUACUUGACAUUGGAAAAGCUCUAGCAAACGAACUACACGAUCUUUGUGCUAUGCUUAGGAUUGGGUCUUGUCCAUCACAUCAUUCUCCUAAUGAUGUGACCCCGUUAUCAAUGACAUCCAAUGUCCAUAGUCAGGAAACCAUGACCAUCUGUUGAUCAACGAGCUAGUCAACUAGAGGCUCACUAGGGACAUGUUGUGGUCUAUGUAUUCACACAUGUAUUACGAUUUCCGGAUAACACAAUUAUAGCAUGAACAAUAGACAAUUAUCAUGAACAAGGAAAUAUAAUAAUAACCAUUUUAUUAUUGCCUCUAGGGCAUAUUUCCAACAGUGGCCGCCUUUAUAUAGCGGAUUCCGUUGAGGCGAGGCAUCCGAGUGCGUCAAUGCGCGGGGCCAGAGUGGGUUUCUUGGCCGGUGAGCCUGCUUAAUAGUGGCAGGCGGCUGGAUAGCGGCAUUGAACAGGCGCGGUAGAUAUUUGUCUUGUCCCGUUCAGUCACACGUCUCCGUCACUGAACAUGCGCGGACACCGGAGACGCGUCGCGGGUGGCGCCCUAGGCCGGCGUGCCGCUUCAAUGGCGUAGGCAGUGAGAGGCCGUGUCCGCCUUGAGCCGUCUUCAAUGUUCAGCGAUGCGCUCUACAGCGGCAUGAAUGCGGGCAGCUGGCGCCGGACGGGAGCGCACGUAGGAGGGGCAGGGGUUUUUGGUGGGCUAGGGUGGUCAGAAGCGGGCUUGGGAUUUGAUCCAGACUCCCGCAAACCUCCCCCACUUUUGUCCCGGUUUGCGUGAGAAAUCACGACCGGACCGCCCCGCAAACCGAUACAGGUCGGCGUUGGAUGGCUUUCGCGGUCCAGACAACGCGGGUCGGCAUUGGAGAUGCCCUAAUAGAGAAAUAUAUUUCCAUGCAUGGUUGCAUAUGGUGGGGUCCUUUUUGCAUGCAUGGUUGCAUAUUGAAGCGGGUCGUAUCCCAUUCAUAAUUAUAUGAUGAUGUGACAUGCUUGCAUGGUGAGAUAAAAUAAGAUAGUGAGGACGAAUUUCUUAGGUAUAUAGGAUUUUUGAAGAGAACCCGACUGUCAAACUUCUUAGGUAGAUAGUGGCCCGCUUAGAGCAUCUCUAGUGGAUGGUGUAAAUUUGGACGUGUAUAUCUUCAUAUACACGUUCAUAUACACCUUGCUAAAAUAUACACCUCUCAGUUUUUCAGUGGAACGUGUAUAUUCCAACGGCUAUAUUUUCAAACGGCUAUAUUUCCAACUGCUAUAUUUUCAAACGGCUAUAUUUUCAACGGUCGUAUUUCUAGUCUAUAUAAACCACCCCUACCAUCUGUCUUUUAGCACUUCUAUCUGUGACUUCUCUUCUCACCUAGAUUUCUCUAUCGUCUCUCACGCAACACAAUGAACACAUCCACUUGCGUCUCUUGCAUCUCCCCNNNNNNNNNNNNNNNNNNNNNNNNNNNNNNNNNNNNNNNNNNNNNNNNNNNNNNNNNNNNNNNNNNNNNNNNNNNNNNNNNNNNNNNNNNNNNNNNNNNNNNNNNNNNNNNNNNNNNNNNNNNNNNNNNNNNNNNNNNNNNNNNNNNNNNNNNNNNNNNNNNNNNNNNNNNNNNNNNNNNNNNNNNNNNNNNNNNNNNNNNNNNNNNNNNNNNNNNNNNNNNNNNNNNNNNNNNNNNNNNNNNNNNNNNNNNNNNNNNNNNNNNNNNNNNNNNNNNNNNNNNNNNNNNNNNNNNNNNNNNNNNNNNNNNNNNNNNNNNNNNNNNNNNNNNNNNNNNNNNNNNNNNNNNNNNNNNNNNNNNNNNNNNNNNNNNNNNNNNNNNNNNNNNNNNNNNNNNNNNNNNNNNNNNNNNNNNNNNNNNNNNNNNNNNNNNNNNNNNNNNNNNNNNNNNNNNNNNNNNNNNNNNNNNNNNNNNNNNNNNNNNNNNNNNNNNNNNNNNNNNNNNNNNNNNNNNNNNNNNNNNNNNNNNNNNNNNNNNNNNNNNNNNNNNNNNNNNNNNNNNNNNNNNNNNNNNNNNCGCCCGGCCGCCGCCCCUGCAUCUCCCCCCUCCCCCCCACCGCUCCGCCGCCCCUGCAUCUCCCCCCUCCCCCCACCGCUCCGCCGCCCCUCUGCUCCCGCUUGCGAGAAAGGAAAAAAUGGUUACCUUGGGCGGCGGCCAGAGAGGAGACGCGACGGCGACCUUGGGCGGCGGCAGGAGAGGGGCGACGGCGACCUUGGGGAGGCGGCCGGAGAGGAACUGGAGCGGGAGCGGGAGGAUUUUUUCUCUUCUUUUCCCUUCUGUUCGCGAGCCCACGAGCGUGGUUCGGUCGUGUUUAGUCCCACGCCAGGUACGCUCGUGGGAGCGACGUGUAUAGGUACACGACCUGAUACAUGAUCCACUGGAAAGCAUCUUUUGAUUUUGAUCGUGUAUAUUUAGCAUCCACCUCCAUAUACACCAUCCACUAGAGAUGCUCUUAGCAUGCUACACUUGGCUAUCUGACCAACUUUGUGGUAACGUUUUGAAAAUUUUGGAACUAUGAUAGUUAAUUUGGAACCCUCACUUGAAUCGUGGUAGUUUUAUACUUUCACAGUUGAGUUUUUUCAGAAAAAAGACAUAAACACCUACCUACCCCGCCGACUGUAUCUACUUUCACCGUUCAGUUUUUUCUUUUCUUUUGAAGAUGUUCACGGGUUUGGUUUUGGCUUGAGCUGAUCGCCUGCUAGACCGUUCUCGUGAACAUCGGAUAAAUAAUAUAAUACCACAUCGCUAAUGGAGAGGCUCCUGCAGCAGCAUAUAAACCCAGCGCCCGUGCGUGUCAUCGGCCGAGCGUGGCGGCGCGCGCUUGUGUCUCCAGCCUUGCUUGGAGGGCCAAAGAGUUGGUGCGUGGGUUGGUGGGCUCGAGCCCGUGUCAGUUAAAUGGCUGCCCUGCUGGAAAGUUUCCUCAGGAUGACGAGGCGCCCGGUAUAUGGCGCUCGGACGGAUCGUGGCCGUUGAUGGCCGAUCGCGUUGCUCCCACCAUCAAGAUGAGAUCGAUCUCAUGAUGGCUGGCCCAAGUGGUUGGCCCUAGAGGCCAUCGGGCGUUGUGCCGUGGGAACACCUUCCCUGGCCGUAGCCUAGCCGGUUUCUGAUCUUGGGCUUCCACGGGCGGCGGGGCAGGCUCAGUUGUUGGCCCGGCUCGUGGUACACGGGUUCGCUCAUCCAACCCCCGUACCAACUCUUUUGCAUUUUUAUAUUUUUCUACUUCAUGUGUUCGUAUGUUCUCCAUUAAAAAAAACAAAUCUCUUCCUUUUUUUCUGCUCCUAAGACUGCCACGUCAAGUAAGUUGCUCGUUGCUGAAUUUCAAAGGUGCUCAUCGACUUAUUCUCCCCAUUUACAACUUAGACCAGUUCCUUGUUUGCAUUGUAUUAGGAGAAACCACUGAACUUCUUGUUUUCUCGCGUCGCCAAUAGAUCAAACGCUCCCCUCGCGUCGCUCCCCCCGCGAUCGACCGAGGGAGCGACCCUAGCCGUCGGUGCCUCAGGCCCCCCCGCCCCUCUUCUCCCCUCGCCGCCGCCGGGCAAAGCCCGGUAGGUGCUGGCGGCGGCGGGGCCCCAUAUCCUCCUCGCGCAAGGGCUCGUCGCGGGCGGGCGUCCUCGAGCGGCAACAUCGCGUUCAUCUGGGGCGCGGCGGCGCGCGGGCAGGUCCGGCGGUGGUGCUGCGGUGCCUCGUCCUGCGUGUGGAGGGCCGGUCACGGUGGGGCUGCGGGAUCACCCGGAGGCGCACAUGGGCGACUCCGGUGUUGGAUCCGCGAGCAACAGGUAGGGCGGCGUCCCUUGCCUGUACGGCGGCGACUAGAUCCAUGGCCGGCAUGGUGCUCUUCCCCUCGGUGGAGUCUAUGUCUGGAGAUGGGCGUCGGAAGCCGCGGAUCUGGCGUCCCGUUCGGACCCACCCCGGAGUGUCAACCAGUGGCGCGUGGAGGACCGGUGAGGGGCGGCUGGAGGCUCCCUGCCGGCGUGCCGACGGCGGCUUUGGUCUUCACGGCGAAGCUCCGUUCGGUUUCAGUCGGCUGCGAGAACGGGGGGUCGUGAUUUCCGGUGAAAAUGGCGCCGACUACGGUCAUGGCGGACGAUGGCGGCGUCUAUGACGUCGUUCCCUUCUAGAGGCAUCGUUGUUGUAGGUCAUGGCGCCCCACUCGUGAUGCUCCGUGGGAAACCCUAGAUCUGGGUCUAUCGGAUCGGACGAUGAUGGCACCUUCGAUGCCGUUGUCCCUCCUCGUGCGAGGGCUCGGCGCGGGCGGGCGUCCUCGAGCGGCGGCGUCGUGUUCAUCCGGGGCGCGGCGGCGCGCGGGCAGGUCCGGCGGCGGUGCUGCGGUGCCUCGUCCUGCGCGUGGAGGGCCGGUCAUGGCGGGGGCUGCGGGUUCACCCGGAGGCGACAUGGGCGACUCCGGUGUUGGAUCCGCGAGCAACAGGUAGGGCGGCGUCCCUUGCGUGUGCGGCGGCGGCCAGAUCCAUGGCUGGCAUGGCGCUCUUCGCAACCGGUGGCACUUGGAGGACCGGUGAGGGGCGGCUGGAGGCUCCCUACCGGCGUGCCGACGGCGGCUUUGGUCUUCACGGGGAAGCUCCGUUCGGUUUCAGUCAGCUGCGAGAUCGGGGGGCCGUGAUUUCCGGUGAAAAUCGCGCCAACUACGGUCAUGGCGGAUGAUGGCGGCAUCUAUGACGUCGUUCCCUUCUAGAGGCAUCGUUGUUGUAGGUCAUGGCGCCCCACUCGUGAUGCUCCGGGGGAAAUCCUAGAUCUGGGUCUACCGGAUCAAACGAUGAUGGCACCUACGACGCCGUUGUCCCUCCUGGGGGCAUCGUUUUGGAGCACAUGCUGGCUGGAGGGGACAAGAGGAGGAGCGGUGUUACAUCUACAGCAAGGCCGACGGCGGAUCCGGCGGCAUGGCGCCGCGGAGGUUCGACGAUGGGCGCGUAUUGGAGAUGGACUCGCACAGGAGGAGGCAACUGUCUGGCGUCAUGGUGGCGUUGAUGGCAGAGAGGCUUGGCGAGGUUGGUGCAUCAAUUCUGCUCUGAGGAUGGACCGAGGGAAGAUGGAGGUGACGACCCUUGCAGCGUGCGGUGCUCACUGGGAGUGUGCCAGACCGGUGUGGGACCCAAUUCUGGUAGUGGCUUGGAUGGGAUACCCGGCUUUAGAUGUUAGGCUUUGGUGUGAUGUCUGUUUGGUAUUAGGCCCGGACAUUCGGCACGGCUUCAUCAAGGGGAUAGGAGUAGCAACGAUGUUGCCAAGAUGGUGACUUCAGGAUUAUUGAUGUAUCACCUUGUAUGGUCUUUGUGAAUAAUUAAUAAUAUGGAUGCAUGCAUUGUCCAGAUGCAGAGGCCGGGGGUGCAUCUUCGUUCGACCAAAAGCCAGUGGUGCUCGAUUGCUGUGAAGGAGUAGCCCUCUUCGAUACCCGUGGACACGCACAGGCGCCUCCUGCAUUACCUCGGCAGCGACGAUGACAACACGUCGUCGCGUAGCUCCAUGACAUCGGCCGAUAAGGCGGUUUGGCGACCCAAUGCACACCGCCGGGCCAUGUUCGCGACGUCGGACAUCGCGCACGGACUAUCUUUGUGGACCUCGACCUUGCAUUGGCCUAGGUCGAGGACUAGUCCAGGACCACUGCGAAGAUGUCUGUGCGGCCUUAGCGACCAACUCGUCAAGAUUUGGGUGGCGGAGUCCCUGUGCGGCACUGCCCUUGUCGCCGACAAGGGAAAGUUGAGGAUGUGUCACGAGCACCGGUGGGUGGUCAAUCAGGGGUGUUGCGGCCCCAACGCGCCCUACCGCUGCUACAAGGAUCAUGACGACUCGGACUCUGAUGGUGACGGCGACAUAGCAGACAACGAUGGAGGUGCCGCCGGCCAGGUAGGCCAUGCGUACGAGGUCACCGCCCGGUAUCUCGUGUAGUUUUUUUUUUCAAAAUUCAGUUGACCUUGUCUAAUGUUGUUCGAUUCGAAUGUAAAAUAACAAACUUCCUUCAAUUUUGUCCGGUUUGCAUGAAUUUCAUCUUUUUGUCCAAUGUCCAUUUGAAAUGUGCGCAGACAUUUGAUACUUGCGGUUGGUGGUCCCCCCCCUAUUCGUAUCCGUGGUGCGUUCAAACAUAUUUGUAGGCGUUUUGUAUGCCCGAUUUGGGUCGCCUUUGGAGAUGCCCUAAGGGCCAGUUUUUUGGGCAAUUCUCCCAGAAUUGACCCCCUCCCCAACUUCUUCCAGAAUUGCCACUCCAUUUUUUGGGUCUUUUACAUCUGUGUCCCUAACUCGAACCCACUACUCAGAUUUGCCCCUAAUUUCAAAGCCUGCUCAAAUUUGCCCUUCUGCCGUUAAGCGACCUUAUAGAAAUGCCCUUCCGCUCCGUUUCCAUCCGGUCAAAGGCCUUUGACCGUCAAUGGGACGUUUUUUGGACAUUUCUACCCCUCCCUCCAUGUGUCACUUACGUGUGGGACCCAGUCAAACAAAAAUAAAAAGAAAAGGCUCUCUCUCUCCUCUCUCUGCCUUUCUCACCUACAUGUGGGACCAAAAUGAAAUCUCUCUCUCUCUCUUAAUCCUUACAUGUAGGACCCACCCUAAAAAAAUCUUCCCUGUCUCUCUCUCUCAACUCCGGCAGGGGCGCACGCAACUAGCNNNNNNNNNNNNNNNNNNNNNNNNNNNNNNNNNNNNNNNNNNNNNNNNNNNNNNNNNNNNNNNNNNNNNNNNNNNNNNNNNNNNNNNNNNNNNNNNNNNNNNNNNNNNNNNNNNNNNNNNNNNNNNNNNNNNNNNNNNNNNNNNNNNNNNNNNNNNNNNNNNNNNNNNNNNNNNNNNNNNNNNNNNNNNNNNNNNNNNNNNNNNNNNNNNNNNNNNNNNNNNNNNNNNNNNNNNNNNNNNNNNNNNNNNNNNNNNNNNNNNNNNNNNNNNNNNNNNNNNNNNNNNNNNNNNNNNNNNNNNNNNNNNNNNNNNNNNNNNNNNNNNNNNNNNNUCUUUUCUCUCUGCCACGCGACAAAGACGUGGUCCGCGGGAAUCAUGGCCGUCCGCCCCAGUGCUGCUCGU
rnacentral:lncRNA from 1 species